GCAUGAAACCUUAAAUGUUUUUAAAUGGCUUACUAAGGCUUAAAUUUAAUUGGUUAUGCUUGUGGUGAACAUAGUAGUAUCCUAAGAGGUUUAAUAUAGUUAGUGAUAGGGCACUUGAAUGUCCCCUUAAUCUAAAUGGUUUGGCUAUGGAUAUUGCUUGCAAGUGUUGUGGUAUGACGAUACAAAUGGUUUAUUGAAUAGCCUUGGUUAAUAAAUGGAUAAUUAGAUUGUUUGUUAAUGGUUUUAAUUUGGCAUUAUUGGCAGGGGGUGUAAGCUUAGCCGUGAAAGCUUGCAGUCCCAGGGGGAUCAAAACCUGAAACUCAUAUUUGCCGAUAUGAGGGGACUUUGAUGGACAUAUGCGAGUUUCACAUUUAUAUUAGGGGGAUGUACUAGUUAUCCUAGGGAUAUUGCCUGGUUGUGCAGCUACACGCACUGGGACCCUUUCAUCAAGGGGGUCUAAACCGAUAUGGCUCGGGGGUGGUACGACGACUAAGAUGCACAACCCAAGUAAAGAUUUCAAAUAGCAUGUUAAAACCAGUCCCUUCAUAGUAGUUGAUUCGGGGAUAGCUUAUCAGAAUGAAGUGGUGAGAUCCCAUCCUUUUGGAAGGCAUCAUUUCAUUUUGGGCAUUCUUAGACAUCUUACUUUCUUUUUGAAUAUUGGUUUUGGCCAUGGUUGGGGGGCAUGUCCCAAUCGGAUAUUUGUAUUCUUUUGGAUAGAGGCUUUGUAGUACUUCUAGGGGUUGAUAUGGGUGGGAUCGGUAUUGGUGUCAGCCUUAGCAUUGGCAUUGGUGUUAGGCUGACUUCAUUGGGCGAUAUUAUUGGUUAUUACAUCAUAUACAUUUAGUGUUUGAUUAUCAUAUUAUUUUUAAUAUUGUGUAAAUGGUUUGGUAUGGAAUGGAAGGUUGGUUUGGUAUGGUUAGACUCAGUUAGGUCGGUCAUAAUUGUGACCCUAUCCUAGAAUCUUCAUGAAAUCAUUAUUCAAUCUUGCUAUCUACUCAAAAUUUUGCUCAUACAAGUCUGUAUAUAGUGGUUGGGUUGGGUUAAGGGGGCGAUCCCUGGUCCUAGUUGGACUUGGGAUGCCCAUUAUGAUAAAGCCCCAGUUCGGGCAACAUUAAGUUGGUAUCAGAGCCUAGGUUCAUGGUCAAUUGGGAGUUAACAAAGUCGAAUCGAGCAGAGUCUCUUUAAGGGGUGUGUUGCGCGCCAUACUCAUAAGGGAGAGACUGGAAGAUAUUUAUGAAUGUUUCAGUUUCUUGGUAUUCUUUCUUCAAGCAUAAUGAUGUUAGGUGUAUUUAUGCAUUCUAGUAUUUGAGGAUGAUUCUUAUGCUAUAUGGGUUGAUAAUGAGAUAAAUAUGAAUCUAAGAGUUAAAGUACAUGAUUACAAUGUUCAAAGUGAAUUCCAAACAAGUUUGUACUUAACUGAGUAAUUUAGAGUUGAAUCGUGGAAACUAGUAUUACUAGCUUGAGCUAGGUGCUUGUCUAGUUGAUCCCGUUGGAUUCUAUUGUGUUUAAUGUGUUCCAAAUGGUUUUAACGUGUAAUUAUGGGUGGAAUAACUUGUUGGUAAUAUGUAAGGUUAAUUUGAUUAAGUAAAGAGUCAGAACUUGAAGUUAAAGAUCAAUGCGAAUUUGCAUAGUCUUAGCUCUUGUUUUGAUUCAUCGUCAGGGAUGUUGUGUUGUGAUUGUCUCUAAUUCUUGGUUUGUGAUUGUGUAGGAAGAUUUGUGAUCGGAAUAUGAUGAUAUUUUAAUGUUGAAUAAGCUGAAAAUUAAAGGGAAACAACACUACAAGACAAGGGAUGGAAGGAGACACUAAACACAUAGCCAACAUUUCGGAAUCAACUUCCUACUAGAAUACGUAGAUAAACCCACAGUGCCCUUGAUGGAUCAGGGAUCUAGAGAAGGUGGAUCCUUGGCUGGAGCGGUGCUCUACCUAGGGCAUUUCCCUAUACACUCGACUACUAAAUUCUUGUUCGGUUCCAACUCCCACAUGGCUUUGUCUUACCUUGUGCUAUAAAUACAACAUUGUACACAUUUUUUACACAUCUUUGGAUGUCUUGGAGGAUUAAAGGGCUACUAGAACUUCCACUUUUAGAUUUUUAUUAAUUUAAUUUAGUUCAUUCAUGUUCUUAGUUGUCAAUUACAACCUUGUGAUUACUACUAUGACUAUGAGUGGCUAGAAAUCUCUUUCUGGGGUUAAAGCCGUAAACAUGAGUACUGUUGUUUUGAAUUAAAUUCAUUUAACUUUGCUUAAAAGUAUUGCUUGUAUGUUCAUCUUUGAUUUAUCUAUUUGAUGGAUUGAUCACCCUGAAAAUAUAUCAAUUGUCUACCUUUUGAUCUUGAGAGAGGGAAUAGGGGAUAGAACAUGGAGAUGAACAAAGUGUGGUUUUUAUUCAUUAUUGAAAUAAUGAAUUAAAAUUAGUGUCUAGGACAGGGAUGUACUUAGAUGUCUUACAUGAUUCAAACAUAGGAUGAUAGAUUAAAGAACUAAAUUGGAUUAUUACAUCCCCCCUCAAUGAUGUAGUUGUAAGAUUCAAUUUAGGUAAAGGAUUAGAGGUCGAGAGACCAUGAUAAUGCAAUUAACCCUACGAAUCAACAACCAAGAUAAGCAAGUUCAUGAAUGAAGUUCAAUAACAUAGUAUGAUUGUUCAAGAGUGCUUCAAACCUGGGUUUUCUCUUAGUAAUUGUCUGAAGAUUGUUACUCUAUGCAUUGUUUACUUUACUUGUAAUUACAUAUCACCAAAGUCUAUUUUGGUUACACUUGCAUCAAUUGAAUCUAAAUCGUGAACUAGAAUUAAAUCGUUGUUGAAGAAAUUCUCUGUGGGAUCGAUACUUGGCUUUCUUAAUGGCUACUUUACUACUUGAUAGACUACGUAUACUUGUGUGUCCGCUUGGACGCUGUCAAGUUUUUGGCGCCAUUGCUGGGGACUUGAAAUUUGGCAACUAUUUUAUUUUUAGUUUUGCUUUUUAGAUAUAUUUGUUGUUUUUAUUCCUGGUCUUGGUUUUGUAUUUGCAGGAAAUAGGUUUUCAAAGUAGGAAGUUGGCAAGGGAUCGGGAGUUGGUUCAACCCAGCCCUGAACCUGAGCAACACUUUCAUUAACAAAAGAUAAAAACAAUCCUUCUCCCCCGUAUUCCUCAAUUUGCAGAAGACCAAGAGAAUCCUUCCAUCAUAGUUGAUGAACAAGCAGCCUGCAGGAUAGUUAGAGAAAUAGCAACCCCACAAUUAACCAAUUUGACAUCUCCAUUUUAGAAGCUGGAGGUUGGAGGAAAUUUCGAGCUUAAAUAGAAUAUGGUACUACUUCUGAUUAGAAGUGGACAGUUCACAGGGCUUUCACAUGAAGAUCCACUGGUCCACUUGUGGAAUUCUUUUGAAAUUAGUAACACAUAUGUUCAUAUGAGUGAGAAUGCAAACAAUGUGCAGAUGAUGUUGAUCCCUUUUUCACUAAUUGGGAAGCAAAAAAGUUGUUGAAUGUGGAACCAGCAAAGUUAAUCACCUCAUGGGAUGACAUGGCCAGAGAAUUUCUUAUUUGGUUCUUCCUCUCUGGCAAGACUGCGAGACUUUGUAGUGAGAUAGUGAGCUUCAAAUAGAAGCCCGAUGAGAAUCUUUAUCAUGCUUAGGAAAGCUUUAAAGCUCUUCUUAGGAAAUGUCCACACCAUCAACAGCCCAAUGAGGCACUAGCUUAUACUUUUGUAGAGUUUCUUGACAACAACACAAAAAUAUUAUUAGAUUCAACUGCAGGUGGUCAAAAUCUUGAGAUGAAUUAUGAUGAGAUAUACACCUUAUUGAACCGUAUCACAUAAGGAAAUCCAAAUUUACAUAGUGAUUCUAGGAGUGCCACCAAGAAAGUUGUAGGUUUGUUAGAAGUGGAUCAAUCUAUUACUUUAUCAUCUUAGGUCGCGUCAUUACAAAAUAUAAUAAAUACUCAGUUCAGUAGCUUAAAAAAUAGACCUACACAGCCUACCACAGCAGUCAAUGCAAUCUAACAAGCUGCAAGUUAGUGUGAAGUCUGUGGAAAUAGUGUCUGUCCAACUGCCAUUUGUGCAUCAAAUCUGAAAUCUAUGAUAUGUGUAGGCAAUGUUCAAAGGCCUAAUUAUGGUAAUGCCUACAACAUAAAAUGGAAAUCUCAGCCACUAAAUUAGUCGUGGAUCUCCCAAUAUCCACAACAAUUGCAGCAACAAUAGGCUUAACUAAAUCAGUCAACUAACAACUUAGAAGAGAUAAUAAAGUAGGUUCUCGCUAAUCAGACACAAUUGGCUCCAGAUGUAAAAAAAUUAGCAAGAAUCUCAGAGAAGCUUAGAGUUACAGUUGGGGCAGUUACAACAAGCAUUAAAUACUAAGCCUCAAGGUGGUUUGCCAGCAGAUACAGAAAAUCCAAACAAGUUAGAGUUACAGUUGGGGUAGUUACAACAAGCAUUUAAUACUAAGCCUCAAGGUGGUUUGCCAGCAGAUACAGAAAAUCCAAACAAGUUAGGAAAUCACCUUGAAGAAUGGUAAAGAGCUUUACGGAGAAACUCCCAAGGCAACAAAGGAGGUAGAUGUGUAUUUGACUCCCCCACAGGUAAAUGGCAAAAUUGCUAAAUAUUUGAGGAAGUCUGAGUACUCAAAAGAAAAAAUUGUUGCAGAAGUGGAGAAGCAGAUACCGAAACUCCCUAUCCCACAAAAGUACAUCAAAGAAAAGGAGGAUACUUGUUUUAAGAAGUUCUUUGACUCAUUCAGAGAGCUUCACAUUAACUUACCUUUGUCAGAUAUUUUGUAAGGUAUGCCCAAAUACGCUAAGUACUUGAAUGAUGUGGUUUCUAAUAAGGCAAAGUUGCAGGAUAUAGAAAUGGUAGCACUCACUUAAGAGUGUAGCAGUGUGAUGAUAGAAAAAUGCCUAAGAAGCUUAAGGACCCAGAGAGGUUCACCCUCCCCACUCAAAUAAGUAAUACUGAAGUGGUCCAUUCUCUAAGUGACUUAGGGGCAAGUAUCAACAUGAUUCCCAUAUCUUUGUUAAAUAUAUUUGGCUUGGUAAAGCCAACCGAUCUCUAUAUUAUUUCAAUUGGCAAAUGAGAUUAUAGCCCAUCCAGAAGGAAUCAUAGAAGACGUCCUUAUAAAGGUUGGUAAAUUCAUUAUUCCUGUUGACUUUAUUGUUCUUGAUUUUAAGGUAGAAGAACAGGUACAAAUCAUCUUGGAGCAUCCAUUCUUAGCAAUGGGAGGAGUGUUGAUUGAUGUAUGAGAGGGCACGCUCAAAAUGAGGUUGGAGGAUGAAGAGGUAGUUUUUAAAGUUUAUAAGUCGCUUAACACACUGUCCCACUAUAAAGAUUUGUUAAUGAUUUUUUUAUUGAAGGGGAUGAGUGUGGGGUUGUUAGUCCACAAAAGACCUCUUCGAACACCCUCAUUGAGUUGUCUAAGCCACUACUACCCCAACCUGACAAGAUGGAAAUUGAUGAGCCUAAGAAGGCUAAAGUUGAAAAAUCUACUACCCUUGAGAGUUCAUACCCAAGAGAGAUAAAAAGAAUAAUAAGAUAGAGACCAAGUGUGAGAAAGAGAAGAAAAGAGAAUGAUUAAGUCAUUAAUUGGGUUAUGCCGCAACACUAAAUUAGGCUUUGCUUGGGAGGUAACCCAAUUUAAGUAGGUAUGUUUUAUUUUUAAUUUUAGUUUUUCACUUUAUGUAUUAUUUGUUUUGAUUGAGUUGCAGGUUGAUGGAAAGUCUGAGUAUCAAAAACCUAAGCUCAGGAGCAUGGCAAAGAAUGAAUAUACGGUCCCAUAGAUCCCAUUAAUUCAAAAGAUACUACUACGUAGGCCUAGAGGCCAUAGGGAGUAUUUUUACCUUUAACUUUUAAAGUUCACUAUGGGGACAAAGUAGAUUUUUAAGUGUGGGGUAGGGAAAUUUCCUAAUUUUGGGCGAAAUUUAAAGUUUUUUAGGUUAGGAAUAUGUGGGAUAUUCUUGUUGGUGCUAUUUUUGAUUACAUAGUUCAAGUGUUUUUUUGUAAAAGCAUGUUGAUUUUGUGAAUUACUACAUUUGAGACUCCUAGGUUCAUGUUUUUCACACUUGUACUUAUUGGCUUAAAUUUGAAUUCAUGGUAUUAUAGGGAAAAAGUCUAUAAUGAUCCUAUUAAGUCAAACAUGUGCCAUGUGUAUGAGAGGUUAUUUCUGUAUUCCUUGUUGCAUAUGAUGUCUAGAACUUGGCUGGUGUGUGUGCAAAGUGAAAUAAAGAGUUGUAUUUAGGAGACGAUAUCAGCAUUUCAUUGAUUUCCUUGUUUUAUACCUUUUUUUUACCUACCUUUGUGCUCAAUCUUAGUUAGGCUUAUUGAGCCUUUAGCUUUUUCACUAGCUGACUAAUAUAAAGCCUAAUCCCUUCUUUUAUAGACCUAAAUUUAAUCCAAAAAACUCCUAAGUAAUUUAAUGUACAAUUGAGUAAGAAAGAAGUUUGAAAAAUAAGAGAAGAAAGGUGAAAUUGAAGCCCCAAGGUAUAGUUAUUGGCGUGUUCACUUGUUGUGGUAAAAAGUUAUCAAAAUCAUUUUAAAAAGUUCCAAAAAUUAGCCUGAAUAUGUUACAAUGAACCUGUUUUGGCCCUGGUCUAUAUUGAAAAUUGUGCACCUCAACUAAGGCAAAUUGCUUAAGUUGGGUGGCUAUCAUAAGGGUUCGUAGCAUAAAAUGGGUGCAUAAAAGGAAAAAUUAAAUGAGUUGUGCAUUAAAUACUCCCACCAUAGUAUUGAGAAUAAUCUUAAUAAGAUGGGGUGAAGAAAAAAGAAAGGGAUAGACAAAGAUAGUGCAAUUUUGUUGUUGGAGAUUGAUUUUAAUUGUAAAAAGUGAUGUAUUAACGUGCUUAGGGAAAAUAGUCACUAUUUAACCAAAAUAGUUCAUACCAAUCCCUUAGCCUUUAUUACAAUCCGAAAAAGACCUAAUUGAUCCUAAGUUCAUCAUUCUAAUAGUAGUGGACCAUUAAACUAAGAUUAAUCCUAUGGUUCAUUGUGUGUAACUUGUGAAUUCCUUGUAAGAGUGAGUGUAAUUUGAUUUUUGUACCCAUCAUGUCAUAAAUUGCUAAAUUGUGAGUGAUUAUGGGUAACUCUCUUGUUGUGGAGGGCACAUAUUUAAUGAAUAUGGAUGAGUUGCAUGAUUUCCUUGAUUGAGCAAUAUGAAGGAGUUUUCCAACUAGGUGAGUCAAUUCUUAAGGCUAUGAUGUGUUGGAGUAGUGAUCAUGAGCUUUCAAUUGUGUAUAUAACAUGCUUAGUGAAGAAACUUGCAUUCUGUGGAGUCAUUAUAGUACUAUCUUGAGUUUUUUGCAAGUAGUAGAAGUAUAGAGUCUUGUUAACCUAUGAUGUGUAGAUUAAAGAGUAGUUAGAGGAUGAAUAAGGCUUUAAGUGUGGGGUGGUGAUGUUGGGUGUAGUUAUGCAUUCUAGAGUCACUAUUCUAGUCUUUUUACCCUUGUUUUAGGAUGAUUUAUAUGCUAUACGGGUUGAUAAUGAGAUAAAUGUGCAUCUAAGUGUUAAAGUGCGAGAUUACAAUGUUCAUAGUUAAUUCCAAACAAGUUUGUACUUAAAAGAGUCAUUUAGAGUUCAAUUGUUGAAACUAGCAUUACUAACUUGAGCUAGGUGCUUGUCUAGUGGAUCCCAUUAGAUUCUAUUGUGUUUAAUGGGUUCCAAAUAGUUUUAAUGUGUAAUUAUGAGUGGAAUAACUUGUUUGUAAUGUUCAAGGUUCAAUUUGAUUAAGCAUCGGAAAAUUAAGUUAAAAAUCAAUGCCUAUUAGCCUAGUCUUAGUUCUUAUUUUGAUUCAUCGUCAUGGAUAUUGUGUUUUGGUUGUCUCCAAUUCAUGGUGUAUGAUUGUUUAGGAAGAUUUGCGAGCUGAAUAUUAUGAUAUUUUGAUGCUGAAUAAUCUUAAAAUUAAAGGGAAACAACAUCACAAGUUAAGGGAUAGAAGGAGGCGCUCAAUAUUAGCCAAAAUUUGGGAAGCAACUACCAGAGGGACCACGUAGAUAAGCCCACGGCGCCCUGGCAGGAGUGGGGCUCUAGAGAAGGUAGCGCCUUUUCUGGGGAGGUGCUCUACCUAGGGUAGCACCCCCUCUACUCCACUGCUAAAUUCUUGUUCGGAUCCAACUCCUACAAGGCUUUUGUAAUGCCCCGAUUUUCUGAAUAGGAAUGCUACACGGUGCUCAUGAUCCCGAGGGACCACAAGAUAACCCAUGAAUGAUAUAUGUACCUGUACACUUCAUAUAUAACAUAAUAAUGAAAAAAACAUGAACAUUUAGGCUAUAAGGUUCAACUAAAUAAAGAUCUGUCAAGACACAAUAUCCAUAUGGGUGAAAGAUACCCAAAACAACUGAAAACUGAAUCAAAUCUGAACUAAAUCUGAAUACUAAAUCUGAGAGCCUCUAAGUACUGUCUGACUAAGGAUUUGAAGGAACAUUUCUCCAACUAACUCCGUCAGGAAAAACUGAGCUGAAAUAAUAAAUGAAAUAAAAUUAUAUCACCCUUGAAUGGAUGAGGACUCACUGCAACUUUGCGGCUGGAUGCUACUGCUGAUCUGGAGCUCGUGUCUCUAAACCUAUGGUGUAACAUAAAAGAAAUCUCUAGCAUCAGUACAACUAGAGUACUGAGUAUACGAGUGAGGAAGGCUAAUGUAAAAGGGUUUACAUACAUAAAUAAUGCUAACUAACUGACUGAUAUGAAUGUGAGAGUGUAAACAUACAUACAUUGUAACUAAGAUUAUGAGUACGUGAUAGCUAGAUAUGUACACUAAUACAUGGUUUACUGAUAACUGACAUGGCUAAAACUGUAGUUCUGAUAACAUGGGAGACUGUAUCUAACAGUCUUAAAUCUAAUAGAACUAUUUGAGUUCCGCACUAUAACUAAAUUUGACUGUAUCUGACAGACCUAGUCUACUGAUAUCUAAAGAACUAUUUGAGUUCUUUUACUGAGACUGAGUCUGAAACUGUAGGAGGCAGUUGUUUAACCGAUAUGCCCUACUGAGUCUGAAACUGUAGGAGGCAGUUGUUUAACCGAUAUGCCCUACUGAGUCUGAAACUGUAGGAGGCAGUUGUUUAACCGAUAUGCCCUACUGAGUCUGAAACUGUAGGAGGCAGUUGUUUAACCGAUAUGCCCUAUAUGUGCCAUUAUGGGUAAUAUGGGGUCCAAGCUCUGCCCUGACUGGAAGGGUGUCAAUACCACACCACUGUAAGGACAACAUGUGAUCAACCCUCAUAUAAUAGGUAACUCUAGUGAGAAUGGUAGGAACCCUCCUAUAACAGGUUAAGCCACCUUAUCUACCCUCAUAUAACAGGCUUCAAUGUCUCAACCUAUGCUGGCCACAUAGUUCUGGAAUGCAAGGAUGACUCCUAAGAAUCACACCCUCAUAUACAGGUGAGUUCCCAUCCUUGGGUUCACUCAGUGCUAACUCUUACUCCCAUCUAAAGAGACUAAACAUGAUUUAACUGACUGUACGUAAGUGGAACUUAUUGAAUUCUGUUGACUGAUGAAGUAGUACUAUUAUCUGAGAGUUAAUUGAGAUCAUGAUAUUUCUGAGGUUUCCUGAGUCACAUGACUGACUGAGUUCUAUAGAUUAUAGCUUGAAUAAGAUUAUCAUGACAACAUGACAUGGCUCUAGGUACAUAGCUAUGUUUUUCGGGUACGAAUACCCCUAAGACUCGAUAGAAGGAAACUAACACACAUGACAUAACUUGAUCACAAGAUUUGAGUCCAUAAUUCAUUAUAUCAUAAGUAGGGGAUAUCAUAUUUCAUAUAGUUAUUCAACAUCUUAAACAUUGUAGGGAAUGCAUGGAUAUAUUUCGUGUACAUAUUGUAUAUCUCGAUUAUCUUCCAUGCUUUACACCACAACAAUUGCAACACAUAAAAAUCAUGGAAUUUAUAUUGAAGUAUAUAGCUAACAUAAACUUGUCAUUUAGACAUCAUAGAACCAUACAAACAUCCAUUAUUGUUAAUUUUUCCAAGGCACGUGAUUUAAAAUAUUGUUCAUAAGAUCAUUGUUUAGUUUUGAAAACCAAAGUUGGGGUUUUUGAAUGUUUUAAAUUGAAUAAUGUUCUCAUAGUUUAUGUAUAUGAUAUUUAUGCUUUUAAUAUUAUUUGGAACUUGUGGGUGCAUGGGUAUGUUGAAUGAACUAGGAAAUUGUGAUUUUCCCAAACUUGUGGCUUUGAAGUAGUUAUAAACCCAACCCCAUAAUUUGAAAUUUGUUUUAGUUAUGAGAACUGUGGGAAUUUUUAAAAUUGAACUAGUCUUGAACUAUUGCAUUUUAAAGAAGUAUUGAAAAUACGAUGGUGUGAUUCAAUGAACGAAGGGAUCGCUGCUCCCCAAUGUGUAUUAAUGAACAAAUGGAGUUGUUCUCCCCAAGUUAAAGGAAAUUGUUUUGGCAUGAUUAGUUAACUUUAAAGUUUAGUGGUAUGUGAUAACGAUCAAACUACACCUCUCAUGUAAGAAUGUAAGCGAUCGUUGUCAAUAUAUAACCCAACUAGGUUGGGGUCAAAUCCCACAGGGAGUAUGGUGUGAAUAUUAGUUCUAUGCGAGUUAAUCAACUGAUAGUUAGUAGUUUCCGGUAAAUUGGAGGUUAUGAGAAUUUAGCAAAUAAUUGCUGGCCACUUUAGUUUGAGUGUUUGUAAUCAGGAGUUUAUGGCAAACCAGAAUUAUGUUCACUAUGAGUUUUGGUACUUGACAGAUGCUAAUAGUGAUUCAAGAUUCUCACGAUAGGUAGGAACAACAGAUUGUCUUUAUUAAAGUUAUUCCUAAAUGUCUCUCGACCUACUUAAGCAUUUAAUUACCUAAUCCUCUUAGACUUAGGAAAUUUCUUAGACUUAGGAAAAUUAUAUUCACUGACCAGACUUCACCUCAGGUUAAUUAACCCUGUUACAACGUGAAUUAUUAAACGGAAGGUUGGUAGCUUCCAAGUCCCUGUCAAUUAUUCACUUCCUACUAUAGUUGAUUUCUUAUCUCAAGUAAAUCAAAGCAGGUUCUAUCUAUCAUUUGCAACCAAUAGACAAUAAUUAAAACCUUGGAAUUAUCAAGGAGUCCUAUUACCUUUAGAAUCUUGAACACUUAGCAACUUACCAAGACCUAACCCAUAGAUCCCAUAAUUCGGGUUAAAGGGAUUUAGCCACUCAUAAUGUAAUAAUAGAUACAACAAGUUGAAUUCAUAAUUUGAAAGAUGAACUUAUAGCAAGAUGAAUAGCAACGAGUGUUUCUCAGAUUAUAUCAAAGUAGAAAUCCCAAGAUAUUGAUGAUAAUCUCUUCAAAGUUAAUUGUUUGUUCAAGCCACAAAAAACUAGAGAGAAAACAACAAAAUACGUGCGUUCCAAAAUAGGUUCAGCAUCCUCCUUAGAAAACCCAAAACUAUGCAUUAAAUACUUCAGCCUAAUUAUGGAAACAAAAUUACAGAGUUCAGUGGUCUUCUCGGAUUAGGUGAUGACAUGUGUGAUGCCAUAUCAAGAGGGUGACGACUUAUCACGGAUGUUGUCCGCUCCUCUUUAAUUUUGAUAAUUUUUGCUUAAGGCUGAUGGUGAAUCCCGAGGGUUUAUCAAAACUGUGACGACAUAUCAGACAAUGUCGUCACUUCUCCACCUCAACUCCCAUGUUCUGUCUAAGGCUGAUGGUGACUCUGGCGUCUUAUCACAAGGAUGACGGCCUAUCACAUGUUGUCGUCACUUAUUCCAACUGAAUCCUAUUCUGUAUUUAAGGCUGACGAUGAAGAUGAUAACCUAUUAGAGUGCUGACGACUUAUCAAGAUUAUCGUCAGCCAUACUUCUCUUUUAUUUUCUUCAGAUUUCAUCUCUUUUACUUCCAUCAUCUUUGAUUCUCUUGCCUCUUGACUUUCACGGCCAAAUCAAAGAUAAAACAAUCAAAAAUGACAAAAGUUGCUUAAGACUUUGCAAUUAUUGUCAGUUUAAAGCCUCAAAUGUGUUAGCAUCUGCUCACACAUCAAUACCCUCAACGUAAAACAAUUGCUUGUCCUCAAGCAACUAAAACACAACCAAGAGGAUACAAAGUACAUUUGAUAGUCAAUCAUCUAUAUUCUCUAAAAACCAUCUUUACCUUCUCUUAAGUCAAUUAAUUCCAAAUCAACUGUGUAUGCUACUGAAGAACAACAAUGGGAAACACAGGAAUCAAGAUAUGGCAUUAAUUCAGCAACAACAACCAUGCAUGUAUCAAGCUUACACUAUCCAAACAAGUUAGCAACUAGCAACAUAACCAGUGUACCCUCACUACAAAGAAGUCCCACUUUACUUAUAUCAGACAUUACAUAUAUAACCAUGGGUACAAUCACCAGACACUCACUUUCAUAAUGAAGUUCCAAUCAAUGUAUGCCAAAUACAAUAGGUUUUCCCUUAUUUUCAUUACCAAGACUUUCAGAAAGGUCAGCUAGGAUCACUAUAGGUCUUCUCUUAGGCUUGUAAUGUAGGAUAGAGGCUGGUAUGAUUCUCGAUGAUAUUUAAAGUGGCUAACCCUCCUUGACACUAUACUAGCUUUUGGGGUGUCUCUUAUUAGUCAUUUUCUAUUCUUCUCUUUUCUUGAUCACGCUUAUUCAGGAUGGGUGCGGUUCUUUUCUACAAUCACUUUUUUUCACAAUUUUUUUUUCUUGCUCUUUUCCACCGCACUCAUCUUCUUAUUCUUUUCUUUUACUCUACCUUUCUUCAUACUCGUUUUACAUCACUCACCCCUAUGACAGCCACCCUCAACUUAGGCUAUUUACCUAAGUCAAGGUGCGUAGUGUCCAAGGAGGACAAGGGCCAAAACAAGUUCAUUAUGAUAUAAAUGGGUCGGUGAUAGGUAUCAUAUAAAAAUAGGCUAUCCAGGCUCAAAAUAGGGAUCAAGGGAUAUUAUGCAUAUAGGGAAGGUCAUUUAGGCUAAAGUGAGCUAAUAUUAAAAUGGCCAAUGAUCCUUUCCUAACCCCUAUCAUUCAACCUAGGUAAGACUAAUCGGGAAAGUUCUGAAUCCAACAUAUAAAGGGAACUAAGUAAAAUCUCACACGCACAUGGCACACAAGUAUAUCACAAGUUACUACUUAUCCAGUUCAUGCAAUUAUUUAGCAAUGGUUAUCAAGUUACUAGAACUAAUACCAACAAAGAUGAAUAGUGGUCACAAUCAUAUGCAAAUCACACAGUUAAAGAAUUAGACCACUUGAGAUAUGUUCACAAAAUAACAAAACUGUGUUAACUACCUCAAGUACUUGUAUUUCUCCUAGUCAACUACAAAAUGUUACAACAACAACUCACCUUACACCACAACUUAAAAUCAAAGAAAAACUAAUCUAAGGUUUAGGGUAUACCUGGAGUAGAUCAAGCACGGGAAUAAUGGGUUGCCUCACAUGUAGCACCUAAUUUAAUGUCGUGGCACGACUCAGGUGUCUCGAUUACUUCAGACUUCAUCGAGACAGAUUGUAGCAGUACUUUUCAUCGAGUCUUUUGGACCAAUAUAAAGUUUGACUUGUUGCCCAUUUACCUUAAAGGUGUUGCCGUCUUCAUUUUCAAGUUCUACUACUCAAUAUGAGUAGGCUUGACUAACUCUAAACGGGCGUGACCACUUGGAUUUAAGAUUACCUAGGAACAGUUUGAGUCUGGAAUUGAAUAGAAGCACCAAGUCAUAUUUUUGGAAAUCUCAUUUCUCGAUCUUCCAAUCAUGAUACUUCUUUAUCUUUUCUUUAUAUAGGUCUGCUCGUUCGUAUGCCCUGAGGCGAAAUUCAUCCAUCUCAUUCAAUUUUCCCAAACUUAGCUCUGCUGCCUCCUUCCAACUCAAAUUUAACCUUUUGAGUGCCUAUAAAGCCUUCUUCUCUAGCUCUAUUGGUAAUUGGCAUGCUUUUCCAUAUACCAACUGGAAUGGUGACAUGCCAAUGAGUGUCUUGAAAGCAUUCUGGUAUACCCACAAGGCAUCAUCGAUCUUUCAAGACCAGUCUUACCAACUAGCGUUUACCGUUUUGGCUAGGAUGGCUUUAAUCUCUCGAUUUGACACCUUCACUUGCCCACUAGUUUGUGGGUGAUAUAAACUGACUAAUCUAUGCUGUUUUACCCCAUAUUUUGCUAAGGAAGCUCAAAACACUUUGUUUCAAAAGUGGGAUCCUUAGUCGCUUAUAAUAGUACAUGGUACUCCAAAGCAUGAGAAGAUGUUCUUCUUGACAAAAGCAACAACCCUCAUUCCUUCAUUAUUAGACAAGGAAACAUAUUUGACCUAUUUUAAUACAUAGUCAACAACAACUAAAAUAUACUUCAUCCCAUAUGAGCUUACAAAAGGACCCAUGAAAUCGAAUACCCAAACAUCAAAAAAUUCUACUUCAAGCAUCUUAGUCAAAGGCAUCUCAUGUAUUUUGGAGAUCGACCCUUACCUCUGACAUUGGUCGCAUUUUAGCACAAACUUAUGAGUAUCCUUGAACAAUGUUGGCCAAUAGUAGUCACUUUGCAACACCUUCCUAGCUGUUCGGUCACCUACAUGGUGACCUCUACGAUAUACAUAAUGAGCAUUGAUCAUUAUGACGACAUGCGUGAUGCCUUAUCAGAAGGCUGACGACUUAUCACGAAUGUCGUUAGCUCCUCUUCAAUUUUGACAAUUUUUGCUUAAGGCUGACGGUCAAUCCUGACGGCUUAUAAAAACUGUGAUGACAUAUCAGAUAAUGUCAUCACUUCUCCACCUCAGCUCCCAUGUUCUGUCUAAGGCUGAUGGCAACUAUGAAGGCAUAUCACAAGGCUGAUGGCUUAUCAUAUAUUGUCGUCACUUUUUCCAACUGAAUCCUAUUCUCUGUUUAACGCUGACGAUGAAGCUAAUAACCUAUCAGAGUGAUGAUGACUUAACAGGAAUAUCGCCAGCCACAUUUCUCUUCUAUUUUCUUUAGAUUUCAACUCUUUUACUUCCAUCAUUGUUGGUUCUCUUGCCUCUUGAAUUCCACUACAAAUUAAAGAUAAAACAAUCAAAAAUGAUAAAAGUUGCUUAAGACUUUACAAUUAUUCUCAAUCUGAAAGGGUUGUUUGGUGGCCUUCCUGGGGAUGACCUAAACUUGCAUCUUGUGAACUUUGUCACCAUCUAUAAAUCUUUUGAUAACCUUGGAGUGGUUCAGAAUGCUUUCAGUUUGAGAUUGUUUUUGUUCUCUCUGUCUUGGGAGGCAAUAUUAUGGCCUAAUGAGCUGACAUCCAAUUCUAUAACCAACUGGAUGUAGUUGAAAGAAGCUUUCCUAUAAAAAAAAUUUCUACCUUCCAGGAGGGUACAAUUAAGGGAUGAGAUCAUCAACUUUAGAUAACUACUGAUCGAAGCUUUGCGUGAAACCUGGGAGAGAUUCAAAAAGAAGCUGACGUAGUGUCUGAAGCACAAUAUGAUGGACAUACACUUGAUGGAGAAUUUGUACAGGGCUCUUAACUCUGUAACAAAACUAAUUAUAGAUAAUGCUCUGGGUAGUUCAUUUUUUGAUCUUACAUUCCCAUAAGCUUCAGAAAUGCUAGAGAGAAUGACCAAACAGAGUUGGGCAUGGCAUACCAGAGCCUCUAUGGUAACAAGCUCCAUUAUUUCUGUGUGCAUAACUGUGGAACAAUGCAGAAGAGAUGAGGAGCAUGAUAAAGACAUGGAGCACCUAAAAACGCAGAUGGACUUUCUAACCAAGCACUUGCUAUCAGGUAAGAUUGAGAAGGUGAAAGCUGUGGGAUCUUAAGAUAAAGUUGAUGCUGAUCCACAUAAAGAGGUGAACUAUGUUAAUAAUCACGGGGGUUUUUGAGGUAAUAAAUAAGGGAAUCAAGGUUAGAAUUAUUAUGAUAAGCCUGGUUAUGAAGAUAGAGAGUAGGAAAAUUGGAGGAGCAAUAAUGAUAGGAGCGGGCUAUAUGUCCUUCCUGGAAAUUGUGAGGCUGCUACAACAAGUUCUGGAAAGAUAUCUAUGAAGUACAUGAUGGCUAAAUUAUUAAAGGUAGUGGAGGCUACCAACUCAGGAGUGACUACCAUGAAUAUUGAACUUUCAUCUAUUAGUCAGUUAGUAAACUCGCACUCUGCUUUGAUCAAGCAACUGGAACAGCAAAUGAGCCAACUCUCCGCAGUGCUAUAUUAGAGGAAGAGUGGAACAUUACCUAGUGAUAUAGUCCACAAUUCGUGGAAUGAUGGAUCAUGUAUGGAUAUUACCACUAGAAGUGGUAAGAUAUUACCUAACCCUUCUGUGGGAAAAAAAUUUCUUCAUGGCCUAGAAUUUACUCCUCAGGCCACUUCACCUACAUUCUACGCUCGACUGAAGCAUCAUGAAAAUCAACGGUCUUGGUUAACCACACUCACAGCUGAAGGAAAACAUGAAAAGUUGAUCAACCCGAAUAAAAGGAUUUUCAAGGCCUACUUGACUCAAGAGGCAAGGUUCUGGUGGGGUGUAGUACGCACCCAUUUGAUGCCUACAGAGGGAGAUAACAUCAUUGGAGACGACAGAGAAAUAUUGGUCACAAGUCUUAUGGCUAAGCUCAAGUUAAACUUUGGGGAGACCAUUACUGAGAAGAUGAAAAUUCGAGUCUCAAGGAGCGACACGACAUAUCCUUUCCCUUGUCUAAUUACAAGGUUAUGUAAGGUAGCCCAUAUACCUGAGGUUGUAGGGUUAGAUGAAGAACUGCUUGCCAAGAAGACCUAUAACCCUAUCUGAUAUGAUGAAAAUUAUUCAAUACUGACACUUGAUAGAGGAGCAGGGGUUGAAACAAACCCACUAGUUAUAGGUACUAGCUUAGCACCUAAUGUAGCAGUGUGGGAUUCUGAGGCUACAACACCGACCUCCUCAGCAAUAGCAGAUUCAGUGCCUAGAAAUAAAAUAAAUCCUUCAACUGCUGUGUUAACCACAUAAUUUGCCUUCAACCUUAUGAAUUUCAGGAGAGUGGCAAAAUAAGCCAAGUGGUGCGAGGUUCAGCUGAAAUAUUUUGCUAAGCAAUUUCCCUCUUUGGUAGACAAGAGGAUUAAGGUAGCACUGAAGAUCUUCCAAGCCUUUCUCAGUUGAAUAGAUGAAUUAGAAAAUUGUUUUAAUACUUGGGUAGGAGAAAUGUCAAUCUCAAACCUAGCAUAAUUUAUAGCAGCCAUGGACAAGGUGAAGGCGGAUGGUGGGGUAUUACAGUAACACCAACUUAUGGUGUUGGCAGAUUCGACUGUUGAUAAGUUUGAGGGUGAAAUCCCAUUCCUUGAUCUCAUGGGGGAACCAAUAAAGAAAAAGAAAAAUUAGAGUGAAAAGAAAGGUAAGGGUAAGAGAGAAAGGCCUAAUAGUGAUAAAGAAAGAAAAGAAGAGAAGAGGGAAAGAAAGAAGGCUGAAAAAAAGAAAAAGAGGAAGGCGAUGAUCAAGUCACUAGCUAACAAUAAAAAAUGGGAGAAGGCCCUGCGAGCAACAGUUGUGGGUGCAUCAACUAGAAGGCCUCCAACAACUGCUAAACCAGAUAUGUAUAAAUGGGAGAGGGGGGCUCUCGAUGGAAAUAAGGUAGCUAAGGAUACAGCAGCAGGGUCAGGGACCCAUGAUCCCUAUUCUUAAUCUACUCAAGGUAUACCCUAAACUUUAGUUAAGUUUUUCUUAGAUUUUAAGUUGAGGGUGUAGGGUGAGUUGUUGUUGUAACAUUUUGUAGUGACUAGGAGAAAUAUAAGUAGCUGAGGUAGUUAACAUGGUUUUGUUAUUUUGUAAACACCUCUUAAGUGGUCUAAUAAUUUAACUGUGUGAUUUAAAUCAAAUUAUGACCACUAUUCAUCUUUGUAUGGUAUUAGUUCUAGUAACUUAAUAAUCAUUGCUAAAAAAUUAUAUGAACCAGGUAAAUAGUAACUUGUGAUAUACUUGUGUGCCAUGUGCGUGUGAGAUUUUACUUAGUUAUCUUUGUAUAUUAGAUUCAGAACUUGCUCAAUUAGUCUAACCUAGGUUGAAGGAUAGGGGUUAAGAAAGGAUCAUAGGCCAUUUUGAUAUUAGCUCACUUUAGCCUAAAUGACCUUCCCUGUAUGCGUAAUAUCCCAUGAUCCCUAUUUUUAGCUUGAAUAGCCUAUUGCCUUUUAUGAUACCUAUCACCGACCCAUUUAUAUCAUAAUGAACCUGUUUUGGCCCUGGUCCUCCUUGGACUCUAUGCACCUUGACUUAGGUAAAUGGCCUAAGUUGAGGGUGGCUAUCAUAGGGGUGCGUGAUGUAAAAUGAGUAUGAAGAAAGGUACACUAAAAUAAAAGAAUAAAAAGAUGGAUGCAGUGUAAAAGAGCAAGAAAAGAAAAGUUGUGAUAAAAGAAGAAGUGAUUGUAGAAAAGAACUGCACCCAUCCUAAAUAAGUGUGAUCAAGAAUAGAGAAUAAUAGAAAAAGGCUAAUGAGUGAAAGCCCAAAAGAUAUUAUAGUGUCAAGGAGGCUUAGUCACUUUAAAUAUCAUCGAGUAUCAUACCAACCCCUAGCCUACAUUACAAUCUUAAGAGAAGACCUAUAGUGAUCCUAGCUGACCUUUCUGAAAGUCUUGGUAAUGAAAAUAAGGGAAAGCCUAUGGUAUUUGGCAUACAUUGAUUGGAACUUCAUUCUGAGAGUGAGUGUAUGGUGAUUGUCCCCAUGGUUACAUAUGUAAUGUCUGAUAUAAGUUAAGUAGGACUUCUUUAUAGUAAGGGCACACUGGUUACGUUGCUAGUUGCUAACUUAUUUGGAUAGUGUAAGGUUGAUACAUGCAUGGUUGUUGUUGCUGAUUUGAUGCCAUAUCUUGAUUCCUGUGUGUCACAUUGUUGCUCUUCAAUAACAUAUUAUUUCAUGUUACACCAUAGGUUCAAAGACACGAGCUCAAGAUCAACAGUAGCAUCCAACCACAAGUUGCAGUGAGUCCUCAUCCAUUCGAGGGCAAUAUUAUUUUAUUUCAUUGAUUAUUUCAGCUCAGUUUUGCUAGACAGAGUUAGUUGGAGACAUGUUACUUUAACUCCUUAUUCAGAUAGUACAUAAAGGCUCUCAGAUUCAGUAUUCAGAUUUGAUUUAGUUUUCAGUUGUUUUGAGUAUCUUUCACCCUUAUGGAUAUUGUGUCUUGACAUAUCUUUAUUUAGUUGAACCUUAGGGCCUACAUGUUCAUGUUUUCUGCAUUAUUAUGUUAUAUAUGCAGUGUACAGGUAGAGAUAUCCAUCACGAGUUAGCUUGUGGUCCAUCGGGGUCAUAAGCACCGUGUAGCAUUCUGAUUCAGAAAAUCGAGGCGUUAUAAACUUGGUAUCAGAGCCUAAGGUUCAAUAGAGUCCUAGGAAGUCUAAAAUCCGCAUCUAGUAGAGUCUUGUACAUGGGUGUGUUGCGCGCCACAUUUAUGUCCAGGAGGCUAUGAGAUGUUUUAGGAAUAGGUCCCUUUCUUCAGUAUUCAUAUCGUGCUAGUAAGCAUAAUUUCAAGUUAGUCUAAUCCGCUCUUCUCUUAUUUCAAAAACAUGACUCCAAAAGGAGAAAUCAGCUAACUCUUCAGCCCGAAGAUCCUUUGGGCGAACAUUUUUCUCAUCCAGAGUUCAGGACCACAUUUACAGCUCUUCCUCAGUAUGUAGCUUCCCAGAAUGAAUGAACAACAGUCGUUCUGGCUAACCCAGUGUCCAAUUCAACAGCAGCUAGGAUUUGGGACUUCACCCAAAUGAACCCUCCAUCCUUCUUUGGGCCUAAGCCCGAUGAGGAUCCUCAAGAAUUCAUUGACCAAGUCUAGAAGGUCAUUGAUAUCAUGGGAGUCACUUCUUCUCAGAGUGAUGAGUUAGCCACAUAGCAAUUGUAAGAUGUCUCUCAUACUUGGUACAAGCAGUGGUUAGCAGAAAGGUUAGGGGAUGCAGGUCCUGUUGAGUGGGAAGAAUUUGUCACGGCUUUCUUAGACAGAUUCUUUCCCCAAGAGCUGAGAGAGGCCAAAGUUCUUGAGUUCAUCAAUCUUAGGUAGGGAAAUAUGAUAGUUAGAGAGUAUUCUCUUAGAUUUACUCAGCUAGCCAGAUAUGCCCCUCAUGUUGUUGCAGACAACAGGGCUAAGAUGAGCAAGUUCGUGUCAGGGGUGAAUAAUACCGUGGUAAAUAAGUGUAGUCUGCAAUGCUAAACAAUGAUAUGACUUUAGCCAGGCUCAUGACCCACGCUCAACAGAUAGAGGAGCAGAAGGUUAAGACUAGGGAGAGGCAGAACAAGAGAGCAAGAGCAGGCAAUUUCAGUUUUUCUCAGCCCAAAUUAGAGGGAAGAAAUCGUUUGUAGUUUUGUCCUAUAUCAGCAGUUCCAUCCCCUUCCUCCACUAGUGUCCCAGUGCCAAAGUUCAGGGACAACAACAGAGACAGAGAACCAGGCUCUAAAUCUCAGAGCAGUGUUAGCAGUGGCUAUACUUAUCCUCAGGUUUAGACCUACGAUAAGCACCAUCAGGGUGUGUAAAGCGGGUCAAGGCAUUUGUUUUGGUUGUGGCAAGCCAGGCCACAGAGUUAGGGACUGUCCCCAGCUAGGUCCUCAGGGUCACAAAAAUCGUUCUACAGCUUAGUUCGGCUGCCCAAACCUGUAGGGUACCUCUUUCAGUGCUACUAGUGGGCAACGCCCAAAUAGACUCUAUGCUCUUCAGACCUGACAGGAUCAGGAAAAUUCUCCGGAUGUCGUUACUGGUACGUUACAAAUUUUUUAUGUUCAUGUUUAUGCUUUGCUAUAACCAGGUGCAUCCUUGUCUUUUGUCACUCCAUACAUAGCAGGCAAUUUUGGAAUCACUCUCGAAAUUUUAGUAGAGCCCUUUUCAGUCUCUACCCCAGUAGGUAAAACCAUCAUAGCUCGGCGGGUAUACAGGAAUAACCCGAUUAUGAUAUUUCAAAAAUCUAGGUCAGUAGAUUUAGUCGAGUUAGAGAUGACUGAUUUUCAUGUCAUUCUUGGCAUGGAUUGGAUUCAUUCCUGCUUCAUAGUCUACUGCAGAAACAGGAUUGUUCAGUUUUAGUUCUCGAAUGAGCCCGUCCUAGAGUGGAAGGGUAGCACUUUGUCUUUUAGGGGUCAGCUUAUUUCCUACCUUCGGGGAAUUAAAAUAAUUUCUAAGGGGUGUGUGUAUCAUCUCAUGCAUGUUAAGGAUUCUAGUUCCAAAUCUCCCUGUUUCGAAUCAGUCCCAGUGGUUAAUGAAUAUUCAGAUGUCUUUCCCAAAGAUCUUCUAGGCAUUCCUCACAAAAGAGAAAUAGACUUUGGCAUAGACCUUUUUCCAGAUACUCUGCCUAUUUCUAUUCUGUCAUACAUAAUGGCACCAACAAAACUCAAGGAACUGAAAGAUCAGUUGAAGGAUCUCUUAGACAAGGGAUUCAUCAGGCCCAGUAUAUGCCCAUGGGGUGCGCCAGUCUUAUUUGUAUGCAAGAAAGAUGGUUCUCUCAAAAUGUGUAUUGAUUACCGUCAGCUCAACAAAGUCACAAUCAAGAAUAGGUAUCCGUUCCUAGGAUAGAUGACUUAUUUAACCAACUUUAGGGUGCCAGUUAUUUCUCCAAGAUAGACCUCAGAUCAGGCUAUCAUCAGCUCAGAGUUAGAGAAUGUGACAUUCCAAAGAUAGUUUUUCAUACCCGGUAUGGUUACUUUGAAUUUCUAGUCAUGUCCUUUGGUCUUACCAAUGCCCCUGCAGCUUUCAUGGACUUGAUAAAUCGGGUGUUCAAGAAGUACUUGGACAUAUUCUUCAUAGUCUUCAUAGAUGAUAUGUUGUUCUAUUCUUGCACAGAGCAUGAUCAUUCAGACCAUCUCAUAAUUGUUCUUCAGACUCUCAGGGAUCACCAGUUGUUCGCCAAGUUCAGUAAGUGCAAAUUUUGGAAAAGAUCAGUAGAAUUCCUUGGCCAUAUUAUUUUUGGUGAUGGCAUUAGAGUAGAUCCUCAGAAAAUUGAAGCGAUAAGAAACUGGCUUUGCCCUGUCUCUCCAUCAGAUAUCAGGAGUUUCUUAGGUUUGGCUGGCUAUUACCCAUGGUUUGUCGAGGUAUUUUAUUCUAUUGCAUCUCCUAUGUCCAUAUUGACUUAGAAGAAGGUCAAGUUUCAGUGGUCAGAACCUUUCGAGAAGAGUUUUCAGGAAUUAAAGACUCGACUCACCUCAGCUCUAGUUUUAGCACUUCUCAACGGUUCUGAUGGAUUCGUAGUAUAUUGUGAUGCAUCUAGAGUAGGUUUAUGUUGUAUCCUCAUGCAAUAUGGUAGACUCAUAGCCUACACCUCUAGAUAGUUAAAGCCCGAUGAGAAGAAUUAUUCUACUCAUGACCUUGAGUUAACAGCAGUUGUCUUUGCCUUAAAGAUUUAUAGGCAUUAUCUAUACGGUGUUCAUGUAGACGUCUUCACAGAUCAUAAGAUCCUUCAGUAUGUCUUUUCCUAGAAAGAUCUCAAUCUUCAUCAAAGAAAAUGGUUAGAGAUAUUGAAGGAUUAUGACAUGAGUGUCCUUUACAUCUGGGCAAGGCUAAUAUAGUGGCCGACGCACUUAGUAGACUAUCCAUGGGUAGUGCUUCCUAUGUUAAAGAUAGUAAGAAGAAAUUAGCCCAGGAGAUUCAUCAUCUUUCCAGACUAGGCAUUUGCUUAGUAGACUCUUUAGAGGGUGGUGUAUGUGUUUAGACUAGUUUAGAGUCAUCUCUAGUUUCUGCGAUGAAAGAGAAGCAAGACAGGGAUCCUAGCCUUGUCAAGCUAAAAGAGCCAAUUUAGAGUCAGGAAGUAGAGGUUUUCUCCCAAGGGGGAGAUGGUGUUCUUCAUUGUCAGGGUCGUCUAUGUGUUCCCGGUGUAGAUGACUUGAGGCAGCAAAUUCUUGCAGAAGCACAUGGUACAUGAUACUCUAUUUAUCCAGGGUCCACUAAGAUGUACCGUGACUUGCGGGAGAUCUAUUGGCAGAGUCGGAUGAAGAGGGACGUUGCAGAGUAUGUGGCUAAGUGCUCUACAUGUCAUUAGGUUAAGAUAGAGCAUCAGAAACCUAGUGGUUCCAUGCAGGAGUUCACUAUUUCUACUUGGAAGUGGGAAGAAGUGAACAUGGACUUCGUGACGGGUUUCCUUAGAACACAUCUUCAACAUGAUUUAGUUUGGGCCAUUGUAGACAGAAUGACCAAGUCAACUUAUUUCCUUCCAGUUCGUACAUCUUACUCAGCCGAGGAUUCUGCCAAACUCUAUAUCAGGGAGUUGGUCAAAUUACACAGUGUUCCACUAUCCAUCAUCUCAGACAGAGGUACCCAAUUCACCUCUCACUUUUGGAAAGCAUUCUACAAGGGUCUUGGUACCCAAGUUCAUCUCAGUACAGCAUUUCAUCCUUAGACAGUUGGUCAAGUAGAAAGGGCCAUUCAUACUCUAAAAGAUAUGCUAAGAGAGUGUGGAAUUGAUUUCAAGGGAAUCUGGGAUGACCACUUGCCUUUGAUUGAGUUUGCAUACAACAAAAACUAUCACUCCAGUAUUCAGAUGGUUCUAUUCGAAGCUCUCUAUGGUAGGAGAUGUAGGUCUCUAGUUGGUUGGUUCAAAGUUAGUAAGGCGAUAGUCAUAGAAAGACUCCGGGCUACUCAAAGCCAAUAGAAGUCUUAUACGGAUGUUCGUAGAAAGGAUCUCGAAUUCGAGGUCGAUGACUAUGUCCAUCUUAAGAUCUCUCCCAUAAAGGGAGUGAAGAGAUUUGGAAAGAAGGGAAAGCUCAAUCCCCGAUAUGUCAGUACCUUCAGGAUUCUCAGUCACUUCGGCAAGGUAGCCUAUGAGCUCGAAUUGCCUUCAGAUCUAGCCUCAGUUCAUCCAGUCUUCCAUGUCUCUUUGCUCAAGAAGUGCAUAGGUGACCCAGCAAUUCUAGUCCCUAUUUAGAGCAUUGACAUUCAGAAUAGCCUCCUUUAUGAAGAGAUUCCAAUAGAAAUCCUCGACUAUCAGACUCGUAGGCUGAGGGACAAAGAAGUCCCUCUAGUCAAGGUUGUUUCACGAAACCAGUCCAUGGAGAGAGCUACUUGGCAAGAAGAAGUAGACAUGUGAACCAAGUACCCUCAUAUUUUCUCCACUAAUUCAGACUUAACUCGAGGUAACCAUUUUUCUUAAGCUUAUUCAGUUACAUGUUCAAAAUUCCAGUAUAAAAUUGGUAUCGAGUAUCAAUGCAUAACUUAUCAUGUAUUCAUGAGUUCAGCUUAUCAGUCAUGCAUUAGAUAUGCAUGUUCAGUUGGGCUAUAUUUAGAUUAGAAUUCAAUUCAGUCCUAAAUCAUAUGCCAGUUGAGCAUGACUAGUGUAUGCAUCAUUUUAUCUUUUCUCCCCUCUCAAGCAGUCAUCAUUCGAGGAUAAAUAUUUCCAAGGGGGAGCUAUUGUAAUACCCCGAAAAAUCCAAACCAAUAUUUGAGCCAUGUACCAAGAUUAUGCAUAGUACAUCAUGGUUCUUUUAUAGUUUUAUGAGUAAGUUAGAUGUAUAGUAAGGCUUCAAAUAACUCUCAGCUAUCAGACGAAUCAAAACAUUCCUUACCAAUUGAAUUCUAAAGAAGGAUAUUGGUAUGGUAAACUUCAAAAGAUCAUAUAUCUCAUUAUACUUGGAAUUUUUUAUCUCAAGACCUAUCAACAUAUAGAUAAUUGAAUUAUAUUUCUAACGAUACCAAUUUCGCCUAAAUCCGAUAUCGGAGCAAAGAGUUAUUCCUAUUUUACUCCAGCAUGUCAGGCUGGAAACUAUAUGACGACAUUCGUGGUAGCUUACCACAUUUGUGACGCCCUACCAUGAAGGUCAUCAGCCUUAGGAAUAAACCAGCUCCUAAGUGAUGAAAUUCGUGGUAGCUUAACAAAUUUGUUACGCCCUAUCACGAAGGUCGUCAGCCUUAGGCAGAAACCAGUUCCUAAGUGAUGACAUUCAUGGUAGCUUACCAUAUUUGUGAUGCCCUACCACGAAGGUCAGUAGACUUAGGUAGAAACCAUCAAUUCCAACUUCUGUGUGACGACAUUUUUGAUGGCUUACCACAUUUCAGCUAUUAUUUUCAGCAACUGGAAAUUUAUUUCAUAAGGGUAUUUUGGUCUUUUCCCUUCACUUACCACGACUUAUAACCCUCAAGGAAUGUAUUAUAUUCCAUUCUCUUUAGUUAAAACAUCUUAAAAAUCUCUCUCAUAAACUUUCAACCAUAAGAUUUGGGUUUCCUCUUAAGAUCAUCUCCUCAGGAACAAGAACAUUCUUUCCCAAAGGGGUUAAACCCUAGUUAAGAAAAAUCAAGGGCAAGCCUAAGGAUUUGUUCAGAACCUUCAAAAACAUUGGAUAUCUUUCAGGAUUCAAUCACUAAGGUAUGCGUAGUGUUCAUCUAUGGAUCCAAUCCAUUCAUAGGGCUCAAGAACCAUGUUUUAAAUAUUAUUUUUUAAACUUUUUGUGGUGAUAUGAGUAUGUACAUGAUGACGAUUGUUGUUUAAGUUUCAAUGUGAUGUCUAAAGGUGUUCUCAUGGAAUAUAUAUGUUUGUUAAUUGAAAAUCAUGAACUUUAGGUGGUUUAAUAUGGUGCAAGUACGAAAUCCACCUAUGCUUUAAAGAAUGCAUGCAAGGUGUUUGAUAAAAUACUUAGGAUGCUAGAAAUUCAUGUGUAAUAUGCAUGAAAAAGUAUGAUGUACAGAAAGAAACCAUCCUUGGGAUCCCUCAUUUAUCAACAUCUUGAAACCCUAUCCUAACUUGAACAAAGAGUUUGAGAGAGAAUUUGGGAGUGUUUAAUCCGUUAAAGUGUUGAAUGAAUUCCUUAAAAGUGUUGUAUAGAUGUGGGGUCUAAAGGGUUUUAAGUGGGAAAUGUCAAAAGUCCCCCAACUUAAAAGUUGUAAAAGCCUCAUCUUUGGUUACGAGUUAACCUCUUGACCCAAACCCACACCUUAUGACUCUUGACAAUGAGUCUUAACCAGGAUAGUCUCCAAGGAACCCAACAUUGUUAUCCUUACGACUCAACUCACAAACUGUAACACCCCGAGAUCCCAUCCCGAGAAGUCACACGGUACUUAUGGACCCAAAGGACCACAAGUUAACCCUUUACUGAUAUCUGUACUGGUACACUGCAUAAUAUAUGAAAUAAAUGCGGAAAAUGGCCAUAAGGUUCAACAUAUCUAUACAUACUCAAAACUGAAAACUGAAUACUAAUACAUUCGUCAUCAGUCUGAAAAGCCUCUAAAAUAUAUGAACUGUGGAGUUGAUGGGACAAGUCCCUAACUAACUCCGUCAAUUGAAAAUAACAAGAAAAUCUGAUGCAAAUAAUAGUAAAUUAAAACUCAUCCUCAAAAGAAGAGGACUCACUACUAUGACUACUGCUACUGCGACUGAACUACUGAGGAAACUCCGGGUCCUGUGCCUCUGAACCUAUGGUGCCAAAUAAAACACCAUAGCACAAAUACGUCAACACAGGGAUGUACUGAGUAUGUAGAUGAGGUAAGGCUAAAUGCAAAGGCUCAUGUAUACACAAUAUGUAAACUGAAUGAUCAUGAAAAUGUCGUAUGAGAACACAUACAUGAAUGCACAGACCAUAAACACAAUCAUCACAACUCUGGGUACUGAAACUCGGAUACCACUUUACUGCAAAUUGAAAUCACUACUAACACUGAGAUACCAAAUCACUGACUCAUCUGAUACUGAGAACUGAGGAUCUAGAUGUACUUACAUCAAGGACUGAAUUCUGAGCUUUACUGCUUUUGACUGACAGAUUAUAGAUCAACCUUUCUAAUGGAUGAUAUUUAGAAACUAUUAUUAAUAAUAAGAAAUAUGUUAUAUCCGAAUCUGACAACAAGGGUACUCAAUAGAAUCUGAGACUGUGAAUCAAGCCUAUCUGGUGGCAUAUCUCUGAAUAUGAUAUCAAAUAACUGUGUACGUGACCAAGCCUAUCUGUCAGGAUGGUCCAUGAAUCAAUGGAACUAUCUGAGUUCCUCAUAAUGAUAGAUGAUUGUAUAUUACAGUCCUAAUUUCUGAAGAUUGAUACUGAAAUUGAAACUGUGGGAAGUAGUUACUUAACCGACAUGCCCAAACCUACUACAGGUAGAGUCCAACCUAUAACCCCAGCUGGAAGGGUGUCAAUACCGUGCCACGGGUAAAGCCUCUCUCUGGUCAAUCCUUUCUGAUGGAUGACCCUACCAGGCAAUUGACCUAAGGCAAUAUAAUAGUCAAAUACUCUCUCUCUGGAGGUGAAAGCCUUUUCUAGCGGUGACUCUUGUAUCCUACGCUGGAUACGCAGUUCUGGAGUUUAGAGAUUACUACUAACGACUAUGGCCUCUAUCUCUCACUGACGAGAGAAGCUGCCAUCCCUUCCCUCGCUCGAUGCUAGUUUCUACUCCUAACUAAAAGACUCUGAACUAAAUUCUUAACUAAAAGCAACUGAACUGAACUUGAUACUAAUCAUGUUUUUCAAAGGAUAAGAAUGAAUAAGCUAAAAUCACUUAAUUUUGUAUCUUCCGAAAAUGAUAUUGAAUCAUGGUAUCUGACUGACGAUACAUAGCUUGAAUAAAUUACUCGAAUCACUUCUGAGAUUAGAAUUUAAUCACUUUAAUACUAUUAGAUCUGAACUACUUAAAAUACUGAGGCUAGAUUACUAGAGAUACAAAGAUUACAAAGAUAACUGAGAUUACUAAGCUUUCUUAAGUUCUGCAACUGUUUGAGGAUACAGAGUUCUAUAAUUCACUGAGUUCUGAGAAUUAUGGCUCGAUUGGAAUUAUCGAGAAAUUGACACAGGCUCUAGACAACAGCUCUAUUAUCAGGUAUAGAUAUCCCCAGGACUCGAUAACAUAAAAGUAAAGCAUAAUCAUUCUUUCAUCAUCACGACCACAAUCAUUCAUUAUCACAAUCACAUAGGCGUCUCUUUACAAAAUCGGGAAUCAUAACAUACAUUCCGCAUAAUCAUUAAGACAUCACUUAAAACAUUUAGGUAUCACCAUCAUUUAUUCAUCAUCAUAAUUAUUAAGGGGUCACUUCGAGCAUUUAGGAAUCAUCAACUUAUACUAGCGUAGGAAUAACAGGCUACUAGAUUAUACUUCCUUCAACAAGGUCUUACCUCAAGUACUUCACACCUAAAUCAUUCUUGACAUAUAUUUGGACAUCACAUGAUUUGGGAAAACUUCAUACUAUCAUAUCACAACUUACUUGCUAACCACUUGGCAUGUAUUAAAAACUUAGCAUGCAUCAAAGGGCGCAUAACUGAGGAAUUUACUACUAUCACAUCUUCACUUGUUCACUAAAGGCCUUCAACAAAUACUAGUCAUACACGGGUCCACACAUAUUUAGGAAUCGAUGCAUGUUCGAAGAUAACCACCCUUAUUACGCAUGAAUAAAUUUGGAGAACCCCAUGGAGACACUCUAAGAUGGAUAAAACCCUUGUCAAGGUGGUAUUUCAACUACUCCUGAAGAUCUUUCAAGUUAGAUGGAGUCAUUUUAUAUGGAGGGAUCGAGAUCGAAUGAGUGUCUUAAAUAAGGUCAAUCCCAAAAUUAAUCUUUCUGUCAGGAGGGACACUAGGAAGAUCAUCGGGAAAAAACUUAGGAAAUUCACUAACCAUGAGAACAGAUUGCCAGGAAGGACCCUCCGAGUUAGAAUCCUUAACCCAGACUAAAUUAUUGAUACAUCCCUUAGAAAUCAACUUUCGAGCCCUGAGAUACGAUAUGAACCUUAACUUAGGAAUUAGAGAUACCCCUUCCUACACAAUGACUGGAUCACUAGGGCAUUUAAACAUGACCUUAUAGGUUAGACAAUAUAAGGAGUAAUAGCACGAGUGGAACUAGUACAUCCCAAAUAUGACAUCAAAUCCACCUUACAACAUCAAAAUCAACCAUGUCAAACUCUAUCAGAUCUACCAGAGUUUCUCUAUCACCAAAAUAUAUUACACAACCCCUAUAUACGUUUUUAGCAACCACCGAUUCACCCACAUGGGUAGAAAAAAAAAAGGGAUUAGGGAUACCCUCGAGACCAAAACUAAAAAGCACGACCAUAAAUGGCUCACAUAAGAAAGAGUAGACCACGGAUCAAUAGAUCAAUACACAUCAUGAUAAAAUAGUCAUAGCAUACCAGUAACAACAUUGGGAGAUACCUCAGUGUCUUGGUAGGUAGCAAGAGAAUACAAGAGAUUUGACAAAUGUUGGUACCAGAAGUAGAAGCAGAACCCUUUGGUCCAGGAGCUGAUAAAGUGGCAAAAGAGAUCUUAUUUUCCCCCAAAAAAAACUUAGAAAGACAAUCCCUAUGCAAGUGACUAGUUAAACCUUAUUUGAAACACUUGUUUCUCCCUUCUUCAUAAAACUCUCGAUGUACCUACCCUCAGAAUCUACAAAGAGGAUAUGAUGGAGCAAACUAAUCCACACCAGCCUGAGAUCAGGCACCCUUUGCCCUAUACCCACUAUAAUGCUAAGAAUGAUGAUUACCUAAUGACUUUGGAUAAGGGGUAUUAGUUGUUGAAUAGGAACCAAAACUCUCCCACUUCUUCUUAGAUAACUUUCCCUAUCUCUACCACCUUACUGUUGACCUCUGCCUUGAUCAAAAAAUCUAAACUUUUAUGUUUUCUCUCCCCAAUUUCAUCAUGCUUCAUCUUAUGUUCUUCAACUUGCAUCAUAUACAUAACUAAUCUUGAGAUGUCCAUGUCUUUACUUAGCAACAAGGCUUACUCUCUAUAAUCUAAUCACUAGAAAACCUAUAAGCAAACUUUCUCAUUCUAGCCCUUAUGCUAGACACUAAUUCGGGAGAAAAUGGGAUAAAAGAUGGAAUUUUAAGGCACACUUCUUGACCAUCAUCCUACCUUGCUUCAGAUUAACAAACUCUUCUACUUUUACCUCCCUCAAUGCGUGAUGAAAAAAUAGUCCAGAAAAGCUCUAGAGAAUUCAUCCCAUAGAGUAGAUUCGGUAUUAUCUCCCCUAGAUUGUUCUCAUUUUUAUACCAUUUUUAUGUUACAUCUUUCAAUUGAUAGGUAUCAAAAUCCACACCCUCCAUAUUGGUAGCAUUCAUAACACAGAAGAUCUCUAUCUUAUUAAUAAAACCUUGAGGAUGCGUCUUAACCUUAACACAUGUGAACAUAGUAGGGCUCAACCUCAUAAACUAUCCAACCUUUAUGGCCUUAGAAGAUGGAGUAAUAGAAGCAACACGCUCAUACUGAGAAGCUAUCAGCUGAGCCAACAUAUGAAUAGACUGAUAAAAUUUUGUGUUAGUCACAUUAGCCUAAGAAGCUCGAGGAGGAAUAGAGGGGACCGAUGGAACUCCAAGAGGGAAAUCAGGAACUGGACCCUUAGACAAGGUUUGUACCUCAUAAGAAAGGUGUGUCCCAUCAUCAUUAUCCUCAAGUGGGACAUUGGAGUUUCCAUGAUCUUUAAAUCGUCUUGAAGGCAUAAUCUAAAAAUUGAACAAAUGGGAAUUAGAGAGACUCAAGACCAUAGACUCUAAAGCUUGAAACAAAACAACAAGAAAGGGUAACAUUCCUAAUUAUCUCAUAGCCUCUUCCAAAUAAGUGUGGAGCAUUACAUACCUAUAAAAGAGACACUAUUUGACAUGGCUUUGUCAAACACCCAAUGAGACCAAACCUGGGCUCUGAUACCACCUUUGUCACGACCCUAACCAGCGCCUAACUAUGACAGAAAUCUCAUAUACCAUGUGACCAAAGAUCACCCCUUAUACCUAACCAAACUAAACACACCACACCCCAAAGUAGGUUAAAUUUUGAGCAUAUUACAAAAAAAGAGAAUAUAAAUUUUAAGAUAUUAAAAUAAGUCUACAACCAUAAAAAACCAAUUCUAUUAAUACCAAUAUCGACACAACCAAUGCGAAUAGUAGUCUGACAAAGGCUCCAAUCAAAACCAAAGAAUAUCUAGUCGGGACAUGCCCCCAACAAUAUCGAAAAACUACUUUUAAGGGAAUAGUAAAAAUAUAAGGAAACAAUAAUCAUGAAAUGGCAUCUUAAAAAUUAUGGAAGCUCACCUCUUUAAUCUACCUCACUAGAUGAUCCCAAAUCCAUGUCACUGAGUUGAAGAAGUAGAAGUAUGACCAGUUCCUACAUCACAAGGGGAUACAUCAUCUAAUGAUGGUUACAAGGGUGAAUGCUAGCAUGAAACACGGGAAUAAGGAUAACAUAAUAAUAUGAUCAACAGUUUAAAAACAUUCAAAGCCAGUGCACAUAAUCAAUGCAUAAACAUAUAUAUUAAUAUAUAUAUAUAUAUUAUAUAUAUAUAUAUUAUAUAUAUAUAUAUAUUAUAUAUAUAUAUAUAUUAUAUAUAUAAAAUAUAUAUAGAUUUUAAAAACUUUACCUUGGAUUAUGUAAUUCAACUAUCAUAAAAUAGUAUGCACGAGCUAUAUGGGCCCCAACUCUCACCCCCUUGUCAGGCCCUAGUGCUUGAAACCACACAAACUGGGGAAUAAUCUCAUAUAUAUGCAUAUAGGGGACUUGAAACCUCCAACAUAUACCAAGGUGACUUAAGUACCCAAUCAUAUAAUGAUUUAUGAGGGACUUGAACCUCUAUAAUUAUGCAAUAAUAAUAAGGAGGACUCAAACCUCCCUGCUCACUUUGACCCCUGAAUUGGUGUUUCCAAUAUUGGUCGCUCGGACCUCUACAUUCAUGGCACAGCUUCACAACCCUUAUUAAAGCCUAAUUAAAAUAAUUAUAAGACAUUUCCAUUCAAUGAACGACAUUACACCUUUAGGCAUACAUUGUUGGUAUCGUCAUACCAACAACACUUGCAAGGAAACUCAUCAUGCUAGAGCAAUUUCAUUUAACUUGAGAAGGAGAACUCCCUUUGUUUAUUAAUACACAUUGGGUUACACUGACUCCCUUUGUCAUUAAACCAUUCCACUGGAUUUCAAAUACUUCUUGAUAACAUUAAAUCGUUUAAGAGGAGUCAAAUUUUACAAAUUCCCACAGUUCUCAUCACUAAAAACAAUUUCACAUUAUGGGUUGGGGUUAACCACUUCAAAGCCAUAAGUUUGGGAAAAUCACAAUUACCAAGUUUAUUCAUAAUAUUCAUGCACCUACUAGUUCAAAACUAUAUUAAAUGAGUGAAAAUCAUAUAUAAAAACCAUGAGAAUUGUAUUCAAUUCACAAAAAAAUUUAAAACUCCCAACCUUGGUUUUCAAAACCAAAUAAUGAUUUUAUGAACAAUAUUUUAAAUCAUGUGCCUUAGCAAACUUAACAAUGAGGGAAGUAUAAUAUGCAUAAAAAAGUAUGAUGUACAGAGAGAAACCACCCUUGGAAUCCCUAAUUUAUCAUCCUCUUAAAACCCUAGCCUUAACUUUAGUGGAGAUUUUGAGAGAGAAUUUGGGACUGUUUACUCCGUUAAAAUGUUUAAUGAAUGCCCCAAAAGUUUUUUAUAGACGUGUGAUCUAAAUGGUUUUGAGUGGGAAAUGUGUAAAGUGCCCAAAGCAUAAAAGUUGGAAAAACAUCGUUUGCUUAUGAGUCAACCCCUUUACUUAUACCGACACCUUAUGAUUCGUGACCAUGAGUCAUAACCAGGAUAGUCUCUAGGACUCCAAAUAUUGUUAUUCUUAAGACUCAACUCACCAACCUAUUACAUGACCCUACGACUUAUAGGUUCCUACUCAUGAGCAAUACAAUGCCUAAAGAGAUUAAAAAUUAGACAUCCUAUGAUUUAAACCUAUGACUCAUGACUUAUCCUUAUGACUCAUAGUGAGCCACUCGUAUUCAGAGUAGAACCAAGCCUCAAACUUACUAUUUUUGGUAUGACUCAACCCAUUGAGUCAUCAAGACACCCUACGACUCCAGGUAUCUAGUCGAAUCUAAGUCAGUGAGACAAAAGCUCAAGAAAUUUUUAUGGGCUAAAAUUUAAGGUAUUUCACAGAGCCAACUACAAUACCUAGUGCCCAAACUAAGGGCCCAACAGUUUCCAUAGAUCCUGGUAAUUCACAUGGAGGAGAAAUGGGUAUUGGUGUUGAUAUAGAGAUAUGGGAGUAGACAGAGGCUCCAAAUUUAAGUUUGUAGGGUUAGGGGACACUAGCAACAUCUUCAUCAGCCUCGGCUUCGACCUCAGAACCGGUUGACAUAUAUUUAGAGAAUACUCGCCCAUCUAGUACAGUUCCUACUACAGGUAUGAUCACUAUAUCAAGAGAGUUCUUGUAGAGCUUAGUAGAUAUAUAAUGGGACACUAAUACUCAAUUGAGAAUUUUUUAGACUGAGAUGACUACCCACUACGAGAAGACAAGAUUAUGGGUUCAGACCUAAUUUGAGAAGGCAGGGGCCAGAUAGAGGCCAUACAGAGAGCUGCAUUAUUUGGUUCAUGUGAUGACUUUCAGGCACGUCUUGAUGAUUUUGAGAGAUAAUUUAAAACCUGAUUUACAAAAAUAGAGGUGUCAGAUCUAGCCUAGAUUAGGGGGACUUUAAUAAAUUACGAGCAGAGAUAUUCUCUCUCACAAAGAGUUGUGUAGCAUCCACUCCCUUACUUAUACCCUAACUAUUCCAUAUAUUAUCUCCACGCAUAUAGAUAUUGGUUCAUUUCAUCACAGAUAAUAUUGAUAUGGUCCCAAUAGUUAGGUCCAAGAGAGGUCGCAUAGGAGAAUUGUAGGAUCCUAAUAUGACAUAUGACCAAGCAGUUACAAAUUCCAAACAUGAUUUAAUGGAGACUGCAAUUAUUGACAAAUAGAGGCAUAAUGAGCUAGUAGUAAGUGCAUCAUCUAGUAGUGCAUCACAUCCACCACCGCCUCCACCAGCUGAUAUGCCCCUGUCUGGGAGAUGCUCAUGACACAGGCACCUAGUCCAUCCCAAGAUGUUCUCACAUCCUUUUUUUAUAUUAUUUUAGCACAUUAAGGAUAGUGUAUAUUUUAUUAGUUAGGGGUGGGAUAUACCACAACUGCUGUGACUUUUUAUUGCAGUACAUCUUUUCCUGUCGGUCAUGGUAUAGUUGUAGAACUAGAAAAUAUGAGAUAAAUUAUGCCGCAUUAUGUUUUGUUUCAUAUUGUGAUGUGUUUUUGUAUAAUUAGGGGAUUUUUAAGUAUUUAGGGCAGUAGUUAUGUUUUUCAUUGAUUUUUGAGAAAAAUGAUACCUUUCAAAAAUUGUGUUUUAGAAUUAUGUAAAUGUAUAUAUGGGUGGACAUUGUGGAUCUCAUUAUGGAAGUAGAAUUAGGGACAUGACAAUCACUUGCUAAUAAUUGCAUAAACUAUAUAGGUAGUAGUUGGUAAUAUUGACUCUGUACCAUUUGUGUGUAAGAUGCUACUUAGUUCCCUUUGUGUGUUGAAUUCAAAAAUUUCCAAUUUAGUCUUGCUUAGGUUGAAGGAUAGUUAGUUAGGAAAGGUUCAUUAGACGUUUUUUAUUUUUUUUACUUUUAGCCUAAUUGACCUUCCAUGUGUGAAUUAUAUCCCUUGAUCCCUAUUUUAAGCCUUAUAGCCUUUUUUUAUUAUUUCACCUAUUCACUUUUCCAUUUAGAUUACAGUGAACCUUUUUUGGCCCUAAUCCUCCUUGGACAUGGUACACCUCAACUUAGGUAAAUCGCCUAAGUUGGGAGUGGCCAUCAUUGGGGUGCAUAGUGUAAAGUGGGUAUGUAGAAGGGUAAAAUAAUAGAAAAAGUUAGUAGGUAUGGGUGUGGUGAUAAAAAAAAAGAUAAACAAAAAGAAAAUAAAAAAUGUGAAAAAGUUAAAAUGAAACAAUAAAAGACCACACUCAACCUGAAUGUGCAAUAAAGAAUAAAAAGGGAGAUAUAAGAGUGGAAUAAAAAAAGAAACUGGCUAGUGAGUGAAACCCCAAGGUUAGUGUACUGCACAGGAGGUUUAGUUAGUUAAUAUGUACAUAUGUACUAUACCAGCCUCUCAAAAUACAUUAUAAGCAGAGAAAAGUCCUAUAGUGAUCCUAACUUGACUGUUUGAAAACUAUGGUAAAGAAAAUGAUAGCAAGCCAAUGGUAUUUGAUGAACAUUGAUUUGAAUAUUUCUUUUGAGUGUGAGUGUCUCAUUACUAUUACUGCAAAAACAUGCAUUAUUUCUUAUGAGUGAGUUGGGACAUCUUUGUUGUGAGGGCACAUGAGUCAUAUUGCAAGUUAUUUUCUUGUUAUAUGUAGUGUAAAUUGUAUGUAUGCUUGGUUUUCUAUUGCUAAUAUAAUUCCAUACCUUGAUCCCAUUGUGUCACAUUGUUGUGCUUCGUUCUCAUACUAAGUUUCUUUUGAAAAGUAAGAUUAGAGGGGAUAUUGUGCUUUGAGUUUCAAGUAUUGAUUGACUUCCCUGAAUAGCUUAGAUUCUCCUAGUUAAGUGUCGUUGUUGGUUUGUUGUGUUUUAUUACGCAAAGAAAUGCAAAAUUUCUAAGUUGAGGGUGUUGACGUGCUCUAGAAAUAUAGCACUUUCGAUGCUUAAAACUAUGAAAAUAUGUAAGUUUUUGAGGUUGCUUUGUUAGAUAUGAUGUAUUUUGGGUAUGUUUUUGCAGGAAAUCAUAUUUUAGAUGUGAAGUACAUAAAAAAUAUGAAAGAAGGUGUUCUUGGCUACUUAUUAGAGAAAUGAUGGAUGUUUAGGACACUUUUUAGCUUGUUCAUGAUCAAAGAAUGUGCAAGAAUUGAAGAUGAGCUGAAAACAUAAAGGGUGAAAUCCUUCUUCUCAUUCAAAAGACUAUAGAAGGUACAUAACUUAUCGAUUCUGCAUGCAAGGUAUCAAACUGGUUCAACAUAGCAUGAUAAUCCUAUAGAGUUAAGAAGCAUGGGGGAACAGAAUCCUACUAUUCACUCAAGACUGAUUUUAACCUUAGUUGAUACUGGUCACUUAUUUGCCCUUGAUGUUCAAAACCAUUUAUUUACUUUUCUAGUUCCACGCAUUGAUUACAACAACUGAGAGACAUGAUUUUACGUAUUCCCUUUUGAUUCAACCCUAAACUUUCUUAGUUUACUAUAUUUGGUAGUGACCAUAUCAUUUUCUGAGAAUAGGUGUAUUUUGGACGUCACCAUAUAGUCCUAGCCAUAGCUCCAAGUUCUUGUAUAGACUUACAAGUUUGGUAACAAAUAGGAAUUUUUGUAGGAAUUCUUGAAGUCAAAAUCACCAAAAUUAACAAGUUCAGAUAGUGGAGAUGAUUCUCAGAGCUUUCUGGAUGGUACACUUAAGCCACUACACGUGCUAGGAUGUUCUAGUGAGAGAGCUGUGGAGUUUUCAUCAUACAAAUUGGAGGACAUGGCCAACACAUGGUAUGAUACACUAUUCCUAGUAAUGCCUACUAGAGCAGCACCACUUACAUGGGAUGAUUUUAGUAAGUAUUUCACAGAUAACUUUCUUCUUGAUAGACAAAAGCAAAAUUAUACAAAUCAGUUUUAGAAAUUAUACACUACAAAAAAAGCAGCAUUUAGCAACGGAUUUGUUGCAAUAAGUACUUUUCCAUCGCUAAUUAACGAUGGAAUUGCAACAAAAUAGAACUUUUGUUGCUAAAUAAUUGAAAAUAAAAAUUAGUAGCCGAAUUAGUGAAGAAUUAGAGACAAAAAGUAAAAUAUGUUGCUAUAUUUUGGCGGUAAAUAUUGGCGCCUUUAUUUUGGUGACAAAAUUAGCGAUAUAAAAGGGGGGGAAAUUUUGACAUGGCGGAGACGGAAAUAGCAAUGAAAUUAUUGUCACUGGAAUUAUUUUACCAUUUUAAAAAGUAUAUUAGGAAUAUUUUAAUAAAUAAUUAGCAACGGAUAAAAUAUCCGUUGCGGAAUCCGUCACCCUACCAAUUAAAUAUAUGGGCAAAAUUUUUUAUUUCGCCUAGUUCCAACACAUAGUACCCUCUGCCUCUUUCCAAAAUAGGCUACAUUUCUCUUUUCUCUCAACUGAGAAAAGGAAUCGCUCAAUAUCAAUCAAUAAGGGAAUCAAUCGCUUAAUUUUAAAUCUAAAUCACAGGUACGAUUCAAAAUCUUGUAAUGUGAGUUAUUUUUUCUCUUUCAAUUUCUUAAUUUCUAAGUUAGAAAUCACUUGAAAAUGAUAGGUUUAGGGUUGUUUGAGAUGUUUCACUUAGAGUUGUUUGAUUAUUGUGUUAAAAAGUUCGAUAAAUAGUUAUUUACUUGAAAUGGGAACCAGAUUUUUUCUCAGAAUUUCUGUUUGUUGGGUUUUUGAUAUUUUCUAUUGCAUGUUUAUUAAUCUAAAAUUUCUUCAACAGAAUUUCUGUUUGUGUGAUUUAAUUUUCACUUUUUUGUGUACACUGAUUAUGUUAGGUUCUAUUUGUGGGUUGUUUGAGCUCUUUCACUUAUGGUUCUUCGAUUAUUGUGUUAAAAAGUUCUGUUAGUGGUUAUUUAAUCGAAAUAGGAACAAUAUUUUUCCUAAUAAUUUCUAUUUGUGGGGUUUUUAUAUUUUCUGUUGCAUGUUCAUUAAUCUCAAACUUCUUCAACAAAAUUUCUAUUUAUGUGGUUUAAUUUUCACUUUUUUGUGUACAAUGUUUAUGUCAGGUUGUACUUAGUGUGUUGCAUGUUCAAAAAAGUAUGUUGUUGUUUUCCUUAAUCUUAUGGUGAUGUUAUGCUUUGGAUUUUCAGAGAGAUCCACUAAGGAUAGCAGCAAGUGCCAGAAAGUGAGCUAGCAGUUAUCUGGAACUAUAACAUUCUCCCUUUUAAAUGAUUUUUUAUCAGUUUUUCAUAUGUUUCUGUGUUGCCAUUUUUGUUCUUGAGUAUUCGUUAAACUGUCUCUAUUUUCUUUUGCUUACCUAUUGCUUGAAAAGGAGCAACCAUGAACAUUCUGAUGCCUUAAUAUUCUACAUUUAAUUGAGGAUUUGUUUUUAAUCUGAUUCACCAUUCAAAUAAAAUCAAUUCAUUUAUUCUAAACUUUUGUGAUAUAACUUUGUGUUACAGUUAUAAACUUUAUUUGUUUUUUUGCCAAAAAAGUUGAAACUUAUUUUUUGGUUUUGUUUAAUGUUCUGAUUUUAGGUAUAUAUUUUGCUGAAAUUUGAUGUUCUAAUCUUGUUGUCAGGAGCUUUUGCCUCAUGCCUUAUGAUUGCAAACAUAAAAGUUUCUGUUUUGUUUGUAAUUAAAAUUUUUGCUAACCCUUAUUAAGAAGGACAAUGAAUGAUAUAUUUUGAUUGUGAUUUCUUGUUUAUUUAGCAAAAAAUGACUGAUAUAUUCUAUUUCCUUGUAAAAAUCGAAAGAAAUAUUCUAGUUUGUUAAGAUAUUUAAUUUUUCUUCUCUUUAGUAAUAAUCUUGGAUGUAUGAAUUAAUAAAAAAUAAAACUCUAAUUAUGUUUUUAUAUCGAUAUUUAUAGGAAUAUGAAUAAUAUAGGGCGUGGAUGGAUGUAUAAUAGGCUGGAUGGUCGGGGCGCUAUAAACUCUAGAUUCAUUACUGGUGUGAAUAACUUUAUCCAGCUUGCAUGUUCUCAACAAAAAGGCAUGAGUGGUAACAACAUUAAAUGUCCAUGUAAAAAAUGUCGCAACAUUAAAUACAAGGAUGUUGAAACUAUUAGAUAUCACCUUCUUUAUUAUGGAUUUGUUAAGGACUAUGUUGUUUGGAAACAUCAAGGGAAAAAAGAUGUGAUUGGUGAGAUUUCUUUCGGAAAUAAUUUGAUCAAUGGUGCUCAACUUAAAUUGGGAUAUGAUAAUCCAUAUCGACAAAUGAUUUUAGAUGUUGUUGGUCCCAACUUUAACCAUGGUUCGAGUUGUCAACCUUACAACAAUAUUGAAUCCGGUUCAUCUCAUCCGUAUGAACUUUUAAUUGUGGAGGAAAAUGAAACUUUGAUAGAGGAGGAGCCUAAUUUAGAGUACCAAAAUUUUUAUGAAUUGUUGCAUUUUGCUAAUGCAAAAUUGUAUCCUUGUUCUUCCCUCUCUCAACUAGUAGUAAUCUCUCAAAUGUUAAAUAUUAAGAUGGAGAAUACUAUGUCAUAGAGGGGUUUUAACUAAAUGAUGCAAUUGUUUAAAGAGGCUUUAUCGGAAGAUAACGUACUAGUUUAUAGUUAUUAUCAGACUAAUAAGCUAAUGUGUAGCUUAGGUUUACCAGUUGAAAAGAUUGACUGUUGUGAAUCGAGAUGUAUGUUGUAUUAGGAAGACCAUGAACAUCUUACCUCUUGUAAAUUUUGUGGAAAAGAGAGGUAUAAGCGUCGAGUUGGCUCUCGUAAGGGAAAAUUGGUCCCUUACAAAAGGAUGUAUUAUUUUCCUUUGAUUCCUAGAUUGAAGAGAUUAUAUGCAUCCCAUACUACAGUUGCUGACAUGAGAUGGCAUCAUAAACAUAUAAAAAAAAGAUGGAGUAAUGCAUCAUCCAUCAGACUCUAAAGCUUGGAAGAACUAUAAUGAAAGUCAUCUUUUUUUUGCUAAUGAACUAAGAAAUGUAAGGUUGGGGUUAUGUACUGAUGGUUUCCGACCAUUCAGUCAAUCUAGGAGCAAAAUAUUCUUCAUGGCCAGUAAUUGUCACUCCAUACAAUUUACCUCCAUGGAUGUGAAUGAAAGAGGCUUAUAUGUUCUUAACUGUCAUUAUUCCAAGGCCAAACAAUUACAAACAUAAAAUUGAUAUUUAUCUGUAGCCUCUAAUAAAGGAAUUGACCUUGUUGUGGAUGACAGGUGUAGAAGCAUUUGAAAUAUCCAAAAAAUAAAAUUUUCAAUUGAGGGCAGCUUUGGUGUGUACAAUCAGUGACUUUCCAGCAUAUUUUAUGUUAUCAAGAUAAAGUAUUGUAUGUAUGUUUUCUUGUCCUUAUUGUAUGGAGGAAACACAAUCCUUUAGAUUACAACCAGGUCAAAAAACAUCAUGGUUUGAUUGUCACAGAAUGUUCCUUGACCAACAUCAUCUAUUUAGGAGAGAUCAUAAGAACUUUCUCAAAGGUUAGACUGUCAAAAGAUCACCACCACCAUACAGAAUCAGAGAAGAGAUAUUGAAGCAAAUUUGUGAUUUAUGGGUAAGAAAAAUAAAAGAGUUAGAUGUAGAAGAAGUUAAUUAGAGAAUAUGUAGUUCUUGUGGAUGGAAAAAGCAAAGCAUCUUUUGGGAUUUAGCUUAUUGGUGUUCUAACAUGAUUCGACAUAACCUCGAUGUCAUUCAUAUUAAGAAAAACUUCUUUGAUAAUGUAUUUAAUGAAGUCCUCGAUAUUGAUAAGAAAACCAAAGACAAUCUACAAGCUCGUCUAGAUAUGGUCAAUUACUGUGAUCGACCUCAGUUGGCAAAGGAUGCUUAUGGAAAAUAUCCUAAAUCUAUAUAUAUAAUAGAUAAGGAAGCAAGCACUAUCUUGUUCAAUUGGGUGAAAGUAUUAAAAUUACUAGAGGGUAUGUUUCAAAUUUUGGUAGAUGUCUAGACAUAACUGCAAAAAGGUUAUUUGCCAUGAAAAGUCAUUAUUGUCAUAUGUUCAUGUAACGAUUGAUGCCUAUUUCUUUUAGUGAACUACUUCUAGGUAAUGUAUGGUAGGCACUUAUAAAAUUGAGCUUAUUUUUUAAAGAUCUCACAUUGAUUACUCUCCGAGUGGAUGACAUGGAGAGAUUACAGGGAGAUAUUCCGCAAAUCUUGUGCAAGUUAGAAUGUAUAUUUCCUCCUGGGUUCUUUAACUCAAUGGAACAUCUGCCAGUGCACCUACCAUGUGAAGCAAAGAUUGUUGGACCUGUACAAUAUCGAUGGAUGUAUCCUUUUGAAAGGUAAUGCAAAUAUUCAUGUUGAUCUUGUGACAAUUAUAUUUUUAUUAACUUUUCAAAUAUGAUGGUUUAUCCAUUUUUCUAUUUAGGUAUCUUGGAACUCUUAAAGGAAUAAUUUGGAAUAAAGAAAGUUUUUAGGGUUCCAUAUGUCAAGCAUACUUUAUGACAGAAUCAACACUAUUAUUUUCUCAUUAUUUUGAACCACAUGUCAUGACAUGCAAUCAUAUUAUGGGUCAUAAUGAUAAUGGUGGUAUUGUGGAAGAUAUUGAAGGAAAUUUAUUAAUAUUCACCCAUCUCGGUUGAUUAUGGGGAGAAUAAAAAAAGAGGAAUCUAACUCUUAAAGAAAUCAAGGUUGCCCAAACUUUCAUUUUGCUAAAUUGUGAAGAGGUUGACACAUUUGUGAGGUAACAAAAGUUAGUUGUAUCAACUUAAUUUUAUAAGAAUAUUCAAAGAUCAUGACUUGAAAUUGAACUUGUGUUCUUUAAAUGAAGUAUGUUUGUGAAAUGUUUGCAACAAGAAUUUCCAAAUGUCUCUCAAGAUCAAAUAAAUUAGAGUCUUGAAGCAAAUUUCUCUAUAUGGUUCAAGGAAUCUGUAGCUUCAAAAAUUUAUAUCUUCUAUACAAUUAUGCACUUAAAUUGAACUAAAUUUUAUAAUCUUCUAAAUAGGUCCAACUCAAUCAUAUUAAGAAUGAAUUCCUACGUAGUCUUGUUUGUGGACCAUUGAUGGGCGCUACAUCUCAUUUAGUGUAUUUUGUUAACAGAUUAAAGUUUCAUAUAGAUUUUUAUGGUAGCGCAAGAUCAGUAAUGAACAGUGGAGUUUGUAUCUCAAAUCCAAAUUUUGGUAAUUUCUAUAGGCGGAUAAAAGAGAUUAUAAAAGUGGAAUACCAUGAAGUACUUUAAAGCGAACUGUACUAUUCAAAUAUGAAUGGUUUGACCAAACUAUGGAUGUUGGUGUUAAAAAGCAUAAUCAGUAUAAAUUGGUUGAUAUUAACCAUCGUUACAGAUAUAAAAAAUAUGAUACUUUUAGUCGGGCAAUGCAAGCAACUCAAGUGUGUUAUCUGUCUUAUCCUAGCAAGAAAAAGACAAGAAUGAUUGGGUAGCUAUAUUGAAGAUCAAACCUUGAAAUGUUGUUGAAUUACCCGAUGAGGAAAUUAAGACAUCUGUAGAACUGAAUAUUCCAUUUUAAGUUGAAAAAGUUCAAGUCUAUGAGAUAGACAUGAAAGUUGCCAUGGAUGAAAGUAUACACUUACAUGAUCCAAAUAGUGGCUUAAUUGAAAUGGAUGAAUUCAUAGAUGAUGGUUUAUUGCAAGAGCAUCAUGAGAUCCAAGAGGAUACUACAGAAGCAGAGUAUGAAACUUAGAAAACUAAAGAUGAUGAAGAUAAAGAUUUUGAAGACAGAUAGUGAUUAGCGCUUGAUAAAAAAACAUGCUAUUGUAUCCUAAUUUUAUUUUGUAAGCAAUAAUUUUGUCAAACUAGUAUCAUUUUCUUUAUCUCUACUCAUUGUUUACUCAAAACUUAUUGUUGUAACUGGUUUUAGGCUCUAUUUCUCAAUUUUCGACUCUUUUAUCUCUCAUCCAUGUUUUUAGGCUACAACUGUGCUUUCUUUUUGCUUACAAGUUUUCUGUAAAUAUGUAAAAAUUGAUAUUCAAAUAUAGAUUAUCUACCAUCUCUGAUCCCCCCCCCCCUCUUUGUUGUUUGAGUAUCCUGUAAUUAGAUAGGAUUAUAUUUAUUGUAGAUUUGACUGGUCUAAAAAGAGAAAGAUGAGAUUUUCUUUUUUGGAUCAAAUUUGUGCGUUUAAAUUUUUUGAUACCUUAUCUACAUAUUGUUGUUUGGUUCUCUUGGUAUUAUUGAGUUUGCAUCUUAUUUCCAUUUAACUAAUAUAGUUUUUUUAUAGAUAUGCCUAGAGGUAGAGGUAGAGGUUGUGGAAGAAUAGGUCAUAUAGGUAAGUCUGCAGUUAGGAGUAAUCCUGAUGCUACUGCAAACAUACCUACUAUUCCCACUCCUACUAUUGUUAGUCCUCAAGCUAGUAUUAGUCUUCAAGCUCAUGGCAUAGGUGGUCAAAAUGAUAUAAAUCAAGUUCAGCCAUUAAUUCCUAAAAUUACAUCAAUAGUUCAAACUUCUGGUGAUGGUAGUAACCCUACAAAACUUGAAUUAUCUCCCACUACUCUAAAUCGGAUCAACACAAUAGUUGAAGGUACAUCUACUCUAAGGAACCAAAUAGGCGAAGGUAUUAACCAAUCGACUUUAUCCUUAAAAAUAGAUGAAUAUAAUCAACUUGUGGUCUUUUUUCUUUCUAUGUAUAUAUAUAUGUUUUAGUUUUUUCUGGUUGAUGAUCUAUUGUUGGUUUUUUAUUUGAGAGGAUUUCUUGUGGACAGAAUUAUAAUGAGAGUAUUUUGUAGCAUUUAGGUGGUUCUAUUGGUGGUUCUUAAUUUGUUGGUGGUUUUUGUUAUGAGUAUUUUGGUGGUUUUGUUGGUGGUUAUUGUUAUGCUGGUGGUUCUUGAUCUAUUGUUAGUUCUUGAUUUGAGCAUGUUGGUGGGUCUAUAGCAUUUUGUAGCAUUUUGGUGGUUUUGUAGGUGGUUCUUUUGUGAGUAUUUUGGUGGUUCUGCUCGUGAUUUUUGUUCUGUUGGUGGUUCUUGAUUUGUUGAUGGUUCUUGAUUUAAGAGAAGUUCUUGUGGACAGAAUUACAAUGGGAGUGUUUUGUAGUAUUUUGGUAGUUCUGUUGGUAGCUCUUAAUAUGUUAGUGGUUCUUGUUGUGAGUAUUUUGGUGGUUCUGUUGGUGGUUCUUAUUAUGUUGGUGGUUCUUGAUCUGUUGUUGGUUCUUGUUGUGAGUAUUUCAAUGUUAAAUAGGAUUCCAGAAUUACGGUGAGGUAUGUUAUUAUGAGGCAUUUUGUAGGAUUCCAGUGUUACAUAGGAUUCCAAAAUUACAAUGUUGUAUGUUGUUGUGAGUUCUUGUGCAUAAUUCGCAUCUUAUUUCCACUUUAACAUGUACAAUUUUUUUAAUAGAUAAGACUUGAGGUAGAUGUACAGGUUGAGGAAGCAUAGGGCAUGUGGUAAGUCAAUAACUAGGAGUAAUAUUCCUGUUCUUACUGCAAACAUGCCUACUAUUCCCAGUCCUACUGUUAUUCCUCAAGAAGCUGGUGGCAUAGGUGGUCCAACUUCUAAUCAUGGUAGUAACCCUACAGCACCUAAAUCAUCUCUCAUUACUCCAAAUCAGAGCAACCCAAUAGUUGUAGGUAUGUCUUUACAAACCAACAAAGUAGGUGAGGACGUAUCUCGUAGCAACACAAAUGGAGAAGGUAAUUCCAGUAGGAGCCAUAUGCGGACCCUUGUUAGUAUAACCUCUGUAGGGUUAAUCAAUUUUUCUAUUAUUAUUAUUAUAUAUUAUGUUUUAUUUAUAAUAGACCUCAAAAUAAUGUCGUCACAUUGAUACAAAUUUCAACCUUCUAAACCAUGCUCAUAUGGCAUACACGAGUCUUUCAAAAGUGAACUUGAUCACAAUGGAAUCAAUUGGAAAGGUGUCUCAUGUGAUAUAAAAAAUGGCUAUUUUGGGGAAUUAAAGGUAUACAUCUUCAUCAUAUUUUAAUUUUUAAAGUGUAUUAACUUUUAUAAAUACAAUAUUAAUGUGUUACUUUGGAAAUUUAUUUCAGAAACACUUCUAUUGGGAUUCUAUAAUUAGUGAUGCUGCAGUAAAGAAACAGUGGCAGAUUAAGGCAACAACUAUGUAUAGAAAUUUCAUUGCUAAAAUCAAAUAAAAAGGGAUUAGGCAAGAUUUUAUACAUGAAGAUGUCUUGAAAAGAUGGUAGCAACUAUAGGCAGAUCCUAAGUGUGUUGAAAAUUCAAAAAUAAAUACGCAGAAUCAUUGUUGUGGCAAAAAAGUCGUUGCUAUAACUCACAUGGAAGGAUCUAUCUCAAUUGAAGAGUACCUAAAUAGAUUUGUAAGUAUAUAUUUCAAGUACUACCCCCCUAAUUUCUUUCAAUCAGAAUCUGUUAGCUGGUUUCACAGUCUUUAAUAGCUCUAUAAUGGUAGGAAAUGUGAUCAGCAUUAUAGCAAGGGCUACUAUUUUAUUGACAUUGAGUUUGAAGUAUAUUUAUCCUUGUGUGGUAGGUGUUUCUUUUCUCAUGUGUUGCGUGUUAAUCUUGUGGCUACUUCUCUCAUGUAUUGACGUUGAGUUUGAAGUAGAUUUAUCUCAAUUGACAUUGUGGCUGCUGAUAUAGUGACAACUUUUAAAAGAAUCUCCUUGUAUUAAUUUUUUUUAUGAAAAUAAUAUGCAGGUGUUAGGAUGAAAUUUUCCUACUAUUUUUAUGAAAACAGUAUGUAUGCAUUUCCCACAUUUUUUGCCCAUAUGGAAAUUUCCAUACUAUUUUUAUGAAAAUAGUAGUGAUGCAUUUCCCAUAUUAUGCUAUCCAGGCAUAUGCAUUUCCCACAUUGUCCCUCGUAUGCAACCAUGUUGAUUCCUUCCCUUUCUUUUAGCUAUUGAUGUUGUUGUAUUAAAAGUUUAAAAUAGUGAGUUACACUUUAAUAAGUAAAAUAAAUGGUCCAACAGUUUCGUUAUAGUACAAUGCUCAACACUUCUAUUUUACAGGCUGCUAAAAUAGAUUGAGAUCCGACACCAAGUGAGUUACAUUUGCAUGUUCACAGACAUGGUCAUUAUGGAAAAUCUUUUGUUGAUGAAUGUUCCCGAAUCGUCUAUGUAAGACUAAAUCUUAAUGUAGUAGUUUACUUAAUUAUUAUUUUUUUAGAUUAAUGUAGCUUUUGGUAUCUAAUCAUUUUUAAGUACAAUCCAUUAUAAUUUCACUUCCUCUAUUACAGGAAACUUAUAAAGAAAUAUUAUGAGAAAAAAUAUUUUCAGAAUCUGGUAUUGAUAAAAUUGAAGCAUAUUACCAAGCUGCCAGAGGAGAAAAGAAGCGAAGAGUAUUUCGUCUUGGAUCUAAAGCAAAAGGCUACUACGGGAAAACUCUUUCUGUUUCUUGUGAAAAGACUUCAUCGUCAGCUUCUCAUGAAUCGGAAUCAGCUGUAGAUUUGGAUUUGGAUGUGUUUGUGAAGCGAUUGAUUCCCGCACUUAAAAAUUAAUUUAUUCCUAUUGUCAUUGAGGAGGUACAAAGUUUGAUUUCUUCAUGAUCAGUUGUGACACCUCGAGGUACUACUUUGGACAAUUUUGAUUCCUUAGAUGAUGAUUGCAAUCUUGAUCUAUUGAUAUCCCUUUGAUGAUCAGUGCAUUGGUUUUUUAUGGUCUAUUUUGUUAAAAUGUUUAAAAUUGAUCAACAAUAAUAUACACUUAAUGGAUAUGGGUUCUUUUAAGAAUAGUUUGUAGAUGUUUGGUACUAUGGAUGUUUUGGACAUAAUUGUAUUUAGAUUUUGCUAUCUUUGGGAUUGUGGAUGAUGUGGGUUCUUGUAAGAAUAGUUGGUAAACGUUUGGUACUAUGGAUGUUUUGGACAUAAUUAUGUGUUUAGAUGUUGCUAUGUUUGGUAUUGUGGAUGUUUAGAUUUUGCUAUCUAUAUAUGUAGGUUCUUUUAUAUGAAUGUUAGAUAUUUUAAUAAGAUUUUGCUAUCUAUAUAUGUGAGUUAUUUUAUAUGAAUGUUGGAUAUUUUAAGAAUGUUAUAAUAUGCUUUGGAUAUGAUUCAAUAGGGUGUAUUUAAAAUACAAGUUAAAAAGGUUUUGGAAGAAAAUUAAUGAUGACAUAUUUAGCGAUAAAUUUCAUCCUUGCCAAAGAAAAAACAUUUGCAACGGAUUGAGGAAAAUUAUCUUUUUUCAAAAAAAAAUUGGGGACUAAUUAAUAAAAUUUAUAGCGACGGAAUAGCAAUAAAAUAUUUGGUCACGAAAUAAUCAAGAUGUUGAAAUACAUUAUGAAAUUAGUAAUGACAUUUAUAAAUAUAACAACGAAAAUAUUUGUUCCUAUAAACGGCAAUGGAUAUAGGUCGUCUCUAUGACGUUGCAAAAUUGACAAUAGAUUUUAUUUUUUCCAUUGCUAAAAGGUUAGCAACGAGCAAAAUUGCAACGACAUAUAUUUUGUCAUUGAUCCAUCUCUAAAUCGAUAUAGCGAAGGAUAUAUGUUGAUUAGCAACAUAUUUUGUCUAUUGCGAAAUGCUAUAUUUUUUGUAGUGAUUAUUCCAGACUCCAGAUAUAGACAUAUUGACUUAUAAUACAAAAUUAUUUAAGUUGGAUAGAUAUACUAUAUACUUGGCAUCCACAAAAGCAGCUCGAGUAUAGAGGUUUGAUAGUUUAUUAGCUUGUCUCUAUAAUGCAGUAAUCCCAUAUAUAAAAGUCUUGACCUAUUAUGAGGCAAUGGAUCUUGCUAGAAAAAUUAAGGACAAGGUCGUGUAGAGCAGGUAGCUUAUGAUAUUCGUAAGAAGGCUAAGAUAGGGGGAUCCUUUAGUAGUGACUUUAGUGCAAAUUGUAUAGCAUGGAAUUAGGGAAAAUAACAGGGCCAUUAGACAAAGCCAUAUUUGAUUUUGCAAUUUGCAUACAAGCCACCUCCUAUAUAGGGUACUUAGGGGUCUUCAGUUCUCACGAAUAUCAUAGUUUUAGGAAGAAGUAUGCCAAUACUCCAUUCUACCAGACUUACAACAAAUCAUAUGUGGGCGAAUAUUUGUUUUAAAUGGAGAGUGUUUUUGAUAGGGUCGAUUAUGUCAUCACAUUAGCGAUUCUCCUCAGCCUUUGAGAAAUGAUCUUAAAGGUUCUAGUCAAUUAGCUACACCUAUUCAGGAUACGCGUAAUACUAUAGGUACUACAAAUAGAGGUUGAGGUAGUAGAGAUCGAUUUUCUAGAAAUCAGCUAUAAGUAAAUGUUGCUAGAGACCAAUCAGAGACUUUGCACUUACUAGGUAGGAGGUUCAGGCCUCAAAUAGAGUGGCUACAUAUAUUCUUUUUGUCUCUUCAUUUGAUUCAUAUGCUUUGAUUGAUUCGGGUUCUACCCACUCUUAUGUGUCCUCGUUCUUUGUUGUAAGAUUUGAUAGACAUCCAUAGAUAUAAUAUUGUCCUUUUUUUGUUGCUACUCUUGUUAGAGAUUAUUUGUUAGUUGAGUAUGUGUAUCAUUAUUGACAGAUUAUAGUGGAAGGUUGGGGAACCCUUUUUGACUUAAUUUUACUUGAUAUGAUUGACUUUGAUGUGUUGAUGGGCAUUUAUUGGUUAUCUCUAUACAAUGCUACUGUAGAUUGUCAUGCAAAGAUAGUUUAGUUUUAGAUACCCAACAACUAUUGAAAAAAGGUUGCAUAGGUCUCAUAGUUGUGAUAAGUGAUGUUAGAGAAGGAAUAUUUAGUUUAGAUGAGCUACCUAUUGUGAAGGAGUCUUCUGAUGUAUUUCUUGAGGAGCUAUCAGGGUUACCUCCAAUAUGAGAGAUAGACCUUGUUAUUGAUUUGGCACCUCAUACUAUACUAAUAUCUAUACCCCAUAUAGUGUAGAACUAGUAGAGUUUAAGGAGCUCAAAUAAUAGGUUUUAGACUUGCUAGAUAAGUGUUUUAUCAAAUCGAGUGUAUUACCAUGGGGUACACCAAUCUUUUUCAUAAAGAAGAAAGAUAGGUCUUUAAGAAUGUGCAUUAACUAUAGGCAUCUAAACAAGGUAGCAAUGAAUAAUAAGUAUCCAUUACCUCAUCUAGAGAAUCUGCUUAAUUAUUUACAAGGUGUUGUCCAUUAUUGAAUGAUUGAUCUUUGGUCUGGUUAUCAUCAACAUAGACUCACGGAGGAAUUUUAACGCCUUAGAUUUUUGGACCUUGAAAAAUCUUGAGCUUUAGGCUCACUAUCUUGGUCACGAAUCAUGGUGAUGAGUUGUAAGUUGUAGUUACAGGUCAUAGGAAUUUAGUCAUAGAAAAAUAAGAAAAUUAGUGGGAAGGUUCAUCUCUGAGUAUGAGUGGAUCACUAUAGGCUAUGAGGAUAUGUCAUGAGUCAUAGAUUCAAAUCAUAGAAUAUCUAGUGUUUAAUUUAUUUGGGUUCUAUGUUGCUCAUAACUAGACCUUGCCAGUUGUAAGAUCUCAUUAAGAGUGGGUGGGUAGAGUCAUAAGGUGGGCAGUGUAUGGGGGUCCUAGUCACUAUCUUGUUUACAUCUCAUUGUCACGAGUCGUAAUAUGAGGUUACAAUUUAAGGGGUUGACUUAUAACCAAAGCCAACUUUUUCGACCUUUUAAUUUGAGGGAAUUCUGGCAAUUUUCCCUCUUGCUCAACUUAAAACCCACAUCUUAUAAAUUCUUUAGUGCAUCAAUAGCUAUCAUAAAACACAUCUAAUAACCUCUCUAAACACUCUCAAAUCUUUAAGGGAAAGAACACUUAGGGUUUUCAUCAAGCUAAUUAAUUAGGGAUUAUAAGGGUGAUUUCUCUUCAUACUUCCUGGUGUUUAAGGCAGUUACUUUCCUCUCAUUGAUAAUUUUGUAAAAGAAUGUGAUUUAAAGUUUUUGUUCAUGAGAUAUUGAUGUUUGAUUUUGAACUAUGGGUUUAGGGUUUUUAAUAUAAAUUGCUUACGUAUUUCUUCCAUGAUUUUUAUGAAGCUAGUGUGCUUAAUUUGGUGGUUGGUAAAUGCAUUGGGGUGCAUGGGAAAUGUGGAUGAAAAUAAAGUUACAAAGGAAUCCCUAAAUCAAAUUGUUUUGUAUGGAAAUUAGUAAUAAUCUUAACCCACUUGCAUAAUUUACUUUAGUAUGUGCAUUAUCACUUCGCUUGACUUAUUUCUUGAGACUAAUGCUUGGUAUAAGUGGUUUAAUGGUUAAGGAUGGUUUUUAAAAUAGUGUGGGGUAUAUUAGAAUCCCCCAAAUUAUUUUAUUAUGAAAACUUUUUGGGAUACACGGGAAUCCCCAAGUGACAUUAAUAAUGGAGUCUGCGGGGUACGUAUAUGUAAUAACCCGAGACUCUAACCAAUAGUGCAACCAUGACUCAAUAUCAUAAGAACUAAAUUAUAGUGCUUUGGUUGUUUUCUGAUCAAGGGUGAUGUGUAUUAAGGCCUCAAAGAUGUCCUAGCGAUUAGGUGAAUCAAAACAUUCCUUACCAAUUGAAUUCUUGGAAAGGAUAUUGCCAUAUUCAACUUCACAUGAGCAUAUAUCUCUUUAUACUACGAAUUAUUGAGCUCAUGACCUACCAAAACAUAUAUAAUUUAAUUAGCUUUCCAACGAUACUAAUUUCACCCAAAUCCGGUAUCGGAGCCAAGAGUUAUGCUCAUUUUACUCCAGCAUGUCAGGCUGGAAAACUGAGUGACGACAUUUUGUGAUAAGUUGUCACAAGUGUGACGACUUAUCACCAAUGUCAUCAGGCUUAGGCAGAUUUCCACCCCCAGUGAUAACAUUUUGUGAUAAGUUGUCACAAGUGUGAUGAUUUAUCACCAAUGUAGUUGACCUUAAGCAGAAAAUCAUAAAAUCUACCUUUUUGUGAUGAUAUUUCAUGACGAUUUGUCACAAGUCUGAUGACUUGUCAUGAAUGUCGUCAGCUACUUUUUUUAGCAAUUAAAGGACAUUUUUGCAAGGGUAUUUUGGUCUUUUUCUAUAUUUUGGAGGCCCCUAUAUAUAUGAGAAUUCCCAUCUAAACCCUAAUUUCUUCAUUCUCUCUUCUAGUUCUCUUAAGAAAUAUAUCUAGGGUUUUUAUUUAAGGACAUUAAUCUCCCAAAAAUCAUCCAUAAAUCUUCAAGAUUUCUUAAAGAAUCAAGUUCCUCAUAGUGUGGGCUUCGAGAAUCAUUUAUUACAAGUGUGGAUAGAGUCUCAAGCACUAGAAUUCAUCCAAUUUCAAAGAUUAAGGUAUGUGGGGUUUUGAACAAGAGCAAUUCUUUCGUUCUUGUGCCCAAAGCUUUGAUUUCUAUCAUGGAUUUAUAUGAUUUUCCAAGUGGGUUUAUACCCAAAUUAUUUCAUCAUGAGAUUAUGAGAAUAUAAAUUGUUCAAGCUUUGUUAUACAUGAUUAUUUUGCUAUUCCCAAGUUAUGACUUGAUAUUUAAUAUUGUGAAUUUCAUAUUUCUACCAUGAGUUGAUAUUUCAAGUGCUUUCAAGAAAUGUGUCAAGCUUUAAGCUUCCUUAUGACAAACUGGAUUAUUGAGUAUAUUGAUUCAUGAGAUUAAGUUAUUACAAUGAGUCUUGAUAUUUCCUCAAAGUUAUUGAUGUAGUCAUGAUUUAAUGAAUUGAUAUAUUUUGAUAUUGAGAAAGAUUGAUUUGAUUUGAGUCGAGUUAGGAAUCCACAAAUUGAUUAUAAUUUAAUAAAUAAGAAAGAGAUUUGAUUUGGUUUUCAUGAUAUACCCUUGUGACGUUUAUAGUGGAUUUUCUAACGCGUUCUGAGCUUGUGUCUGGGAGUAGUAUUUAGCACCGAGCAGGAAAUGUGGUAUUUUCUUAAAACUACGUGUCACCAUAGGAUUGAUAUUGAUAAUUAUGGGCCAGAGGCCGAGUAUGAGAUUAUGAUCACUAAAUUUAGGUUGUACUCCCUAGCAAGAGUACGAUGCUCCCACCAAUGUGGGGUUCUCUACUUAGGAGGGCAAAACGUUGGACUCCAUGUAGCUCACAUGGUUUAUGUCAGUUAUAGAACCUCCCAUGUCCAUAAGAGUUGAGUUUCUUAAAUUACCAAGUCACUCUGAGUCUUGAGUUGAAGAGUUGAGUUAUUAUGAUGAUUUUUUAGGUUUUUAUCAUAUGAUUUAUUUACUAUGAGAUCAUGAAAAGUAUGUUUUAAUCUAACUCAAGCCAAGUGAGCAAUCAUUGUACAUAUGCAUAUUUUUAUGAAAUUGAUGAUGAUAUUUGCAUUAUUGCAUGCACCCCUACUUACUCAGUACAUUCCAAAGUACUAACCCACAUAUAUUUCUAUAGGCUAUAUUUUCUCAUAAUGUAGGUUCAGGUACUCAGCCGCAGCUGUGUUACCGAUAUUUGAGUGCCUCAACUACGUUCCCUCAGUGGUGAGUCCUCAUGGUUUGAGGAUCAUGUCUAUAUUUUUGGUGAUAUCAUUCUGUUGUUAUGGCUUUCAGUACUGUUUGAGUCAGUUGGGGGUUUGUCCCAAUGGCUCCUUGAUUUUGAUGUAUAGAGGCUUUGUCAGACUAGAGGGUUGGUAUGUACAGACAUUCAAUUUAUUUUAGUUGUACAGUCUAGUAUUAUCCAGUAUUUCUCUUGAACCCGAUGUGGUAUAUCUCUUUGUUGUGCAUGACUAUUGUUAAAUUUCAUUCCUUGAGGUAGUAUCUGACUUCGAGGGUUAGCUUUGGGCUAUGUGUAGCCCUAAGCACCAUGUGGCAUCUCGGGAUGAAAUUUUGGGCAUUACAGUGUGAAUCCCUUAAGUUCUAGGUAAUGACAUUGCUUGCUAGCUAUAGUCAGUAUGAUGAUACCACUUAAUAAUGCCUUUAUAAUUAGCUCAUAAAAUUAGUGGUUCUGUUGUGUGUUAAAUGUUUUAAUUGGUCCAUGAAAGCGGUUGUGAUAGCUAGCUAUGAAGGUGUGAGUAUUAAGGACAAACACUGGAACUCAUGUUUGCCGACAUCAAGAUUGGUCUUGAUGACCAUGUUUUUGUGGGGUCCAAGGGAAUCCCCCAAACCUAUAAACAUAAAUAUGUAUCAUAGAGGGCGAUGGGUACAAAGUAAUUCUCGACCAUCUAUGAUAUCAUUGGUUAUUGCGGCUAACACGCAUUGGUGCCCAUUCAUGGGGUAACACUAUACCCAUAUAGCCGGUGGGUGGACUUAUGACUAUAAAGCUACCCAAUCAAGGUUAAAUUUUUCAAAGUUCAUUCUAAACCUUGCUCCGUUCUCCGAUAUGGUAUAUACAUAUAUAUAUGUAUGAAUUUGUAUAUGGUUAUGUGCAUUGAUUUUACUUGGUUUUGGAUUGAUUGCAAUACUUUAUCUUUAUCCUUGUGUUACAUGCUAGAGUUCACCCUGCUAACCAUCUUCGGAUGUUGUAUCUCUAUGUGAUGUAGAAAUCAACCAUAUUUUCACUCCUCCUGCUCAGUGACAUGGUUAUUUAGGGGUAGCUUUUGAUUUUGACUGAAGUGGUGAGCUUCUAUACUCUAAAAUGCCCUAUUUCAUACUAUAUAUUUCUUUAUGCAUCGAUUACUCCUUUUGGUUAUAGGAUUGGCUAUGGUCGGUGGCAUUAUCGGGUGGAUAUUCUUUGAUUUUGAUUAGAGGCUUUGUCAGACUAUUGUGGGCAUGGGCGGUCUUAAUAUCGAUGUUGGUAUCGGUAUUGGAAUUGUCAUUGGCAUUGGUUGGUUAUUUGGUUUUAAAUGGUUAGUUAUGGUUAUAAAAUUAGUAUAAUAUUUUUAAUUUGAUAUUCUUACAUCUUGUUAUAUGUUUGGAAUUCAUCCGACAUAGAGUGUAUGGUGGUUGGUUGCUUGGUUAUUGGGGGUGGUCUCUGGUUCUUGUUGGGCAUGAGAUACCCGUCACGGCUAGGCCCUUGUUUGGGUUGUGAAAAGAGGGUAUCAGUGACUUAGUUCAUGGUUAAUUAGGUGUCAAUAAAUCUAUGUUGAGUAGAGUCUCUUAGGUAGAUGCUACGAGGUAUGUAGGAAUGUUUCUCUUUCUUUUGUUUUUCUUUCAGGCUGUAGAAUCUAUGGUCCUAAAAUCUUCUCUAUGUUAAGUUUUUUUUCCUUUCUGAUCAUGUUUUCCCAGUAAUCUGAAGCUCAUGGAAAUUCCUCUAUCUCACUCGAGGAAAAUAUUUAUAGGAUAAGCCCGGCUUAUGAGGUCCAGACUUAGUCUAGGGGUCUAGUUCUUGAUUGCCCUUCUUAAGUUCCAUCGGUCCCCUCUAGUACUUCUCGAGCUCCUAAGGCUGAUGUGAGAACUACUAAGUUUUUUAGUAUAUUCAUAUCCUGGCUUAGUUUGUAGCUUCUUAGUUUGAGCAUGAUGCUUCUGUUACUCUUAUCUUUUGAGGCUACAAAUGCCGUCCAGUUUAUGGGGUUGAUUCCUCCAACCUUUACUGGUUUUGAGGUUGAGGAGGAUUCUCAAAAUUUCUUCUAUGAGAUGUAAAAGUUCUUUGGUGAAAUGUAUGUCAUUAAUGUGGAGUGCGUGGAGUUGGCCGCUUACUAAUUGAAAGAUGUGGUGUAUUAGUGGUUUGAGGAAUGGGACCACUCAAGGGGUGAAGAUCUUGAAUCAACCCUGUGGGAUGAUUUUUCUAGUGCUUUUAUGACUGCUUCUUUCCUUAAGAGAUGAGAAAGAUAAAGGCGGGACAUUUAGUUAACUUAAACCAAGGCAAGAUGUCAGUCAAUGAGUAUGCCAUGAAGUUUCACCAAUUAUCUUGGUAUGCUCUGGAGUUUGUAUCUAGCAUGAAGCCUAGAAUAAGGAAGUUUUCUUUAAAUUUUUCUCGAUACUCGAUUUUGAAGAGUAAGGUUUCCUUGUUAAACAAGGAUAUGGACAUCUCUAAGUUGGUUGUGGAUAUGCAGUAGGUGAAGGAAGAGAAUAAAAAGCAAACAAAGAUAGCGGUGAGGCAAAGUAAGAAGUUUAUCUUUUCUAAUCAGGGUGGAGGUCAAUAGUAGAGUGGAAGGGAUGGUGAAAAGUGGUCCUAAAGGAUGAAGGGCAAUUUUGGGUCCUACUCGAUGACUUGUGCUCCCUACCUAAAGCUAUCUGGUGACAAGUGUUUUCAAGGUGGUGAUAGUUUUAUGAUACAGGGUGCCCAAUCUUAGUCUAGUGAGGCCCAAUCAGCUCCAUCAUAUCCUCCCUACAAAUUUUAUGGUCGGUUGCAUAGAGGUUUCUAUGAUUAGGGAAGGAACAUGAUCUUAAUAUGUGGUCAACCAAGGUAUAAUCUUAGAAACUUUCCUAUGGGUAAGGUUGAUUCAGGGAAAAACAAGGUUCUUGUUGCCUCUUUAUCAACUCCAACAUAAAAUAGUGACACAUCUGGCUCUAAAACUGGUCGAAACUAUUUUUAUGGUCUCACUGCCAGAUAGGAGUGCCAGGCAUUAUGUUGAAACUCUUUUCUUGUAACAUGUAUUGUUUACUUAAUCUGGGUUCUACUCUUUCUUAUAUGACCCCAUUUGUGGUUGUGCAUUUUGGUAUCUGUCCAGAGUGUAUUUUGAAUUACUUUUAUAUUUCUAUCCUAGUGGGUAACUCUGUGGUGAUUAGAAGAGUCUAUUAGGGUUGUGUAGUAUCUGCGGGUAGGAGAGAUACUUUGGUAGAUCUAGUAUAGUUAGACAAAGUUAAGUUUGAAUUCAUAUUAGGGAUAGAUUGGUUGUAUGCGUGAUAUGAUUCUCUAAACUAUGGACCUGUAACGUCAUCUUUAACUUCCUUAUUGAGUGGGAACGUGGUUCUCUAGUGCCUAAGGGAAGAUUUAUAUAAUAUUUAAGAGACCGAAGAUUAAUCUCCAAGUGGUGUCUUUAUCAUUAGGUCUAAGUUAAUGAUUCAAACUUAGAGAGUCCUUCUUUACAAUACGGCCUAAUGAAUUCCCUAAGGUCUUUCCUGAUGACCUUUCUGGUGUCCCUCCUAAUAGGGAGAUUGAUUUUAUAAUUGAUCUUAUUCUAGACACUCAUCCUAUCUCUAUCCUUCCUUAUAAAAUGGCUCAAGCUGAAUUGAAAGAGUAAGGAGCAUUUGAAAGACCUCUUAGACAAGGGUUUUAUCCGUCCUAGUGUGUCUCCAUGUAGUGUACUUGUUUGGUUCAUAUGUAAGAAGGAUGGUUCCCUACAGAUGUAUACUGAUUACCAUCAGUUGAAUAAGGUGAUGAUAAAGAAUAUGUACCCACCCCUAGAAUUAAUAAUUUGCUUGAUCAGUUUUAAGGUGCUAGAUAUUUCCUUUAGAUUGAACUUAGGUAACGUUAUCAUCAGUUAAAGAUUACAGAAGUGGACAUCCCUAAUACUGACUUCUGAAUGCAAUAAAGUCAUUAUUUAUUCUUAAUCAUGUCUUUUUAUUUGCCUAAUUCCCCAACGGCAUUCAUAGACUUGAUGAAUAGGGUCUUCUAUCAGUUUUGAGAUUUGUUCGUUAUCAUGUCUAUAGAUGAUCUACUUGUGUAUUUCAAGAGAGUGGUGGUUCAUGUAAAUCACCUUUGUAUCAUAUUGGAAACCUUGAAAGAUCAGUAUUUGUAUGCUAAGUUCUUGAAGUUUGAGUUUCAGUUAAAAUCUGUUACUUUUUGGGAUAUGCCAUUUCUAGUGAUGGGAUCAUGGUGGAUCCGUAGAAAAGUGUUGUGGUUAAGAAGUGGCCUAGACCCAUGGCUCCAACCAAUAUUUGGAGAUUCUUGGUUUUAGCCGAUUACUAUACUAGAUUUAUAGAGAGUUUCUUAACUAUUGCUACCCCAUUAACUAUGUUGACCUUGAAGAAGGAGAAGGUUUUAUUGUCUAACGCUUGUGAGGGUUGUUUUUGAGAAGCUAAAAGAUAAGUUGACUACAGCUCAAGUUUUGACUUUAUCUGAAAGCACUGAUGAUUUUUUCGUCUAUUUUGAUGUGUCCCAUGUGGGACUUAGUGGUUUGUUGAUGUAGCAUGGUAGGGUAGUGGCCUAUGCUUCUAGGCAUUUGAAAGCUUAUGAGAUGAAUUACCCAACUCAUGGCUUCGAGUUGUUGGCUGUGGUGUUCACAUUGAAUAUCUAGCGUUACUAUCUCUAUGGAGUUCAUGUGGAUAUCUUUUGUAAUCAUAAGAGCCUGUAAUAUGUGUCCAUACUGAAAGGGCUUAAUCUUAGGAAAAGGAGGUGUCUUGAGUUGCUAAUGGACUACGACAUGAGUCUCUAUUAUCACCCCGGUAAAGCUAACAUAAUUUUUGAUACUCUUAGCAGGUUAUCCAUUGGAAGUCUAGCUCAUAUGGAUGAGGAUAAGUAGUGAUUAGUGAAGUAUAUUCACCAUUACUCUAACCUUGGGGUUCGUCUCUUGGACUCUGAAGAUGAUGGUGUGUUUGUGCAUCAGGUGACAUAGUCAUCCCUUGCUAUUAAGAUAAUAGAGAAGCAGGUAUUGGAUCCUAUCUUGAUAAAGAUUAAAGGAUAUGUGGGUGAACCGAAGGUUGAAGAUUUUGCAAUUAGUGGUGAUGGUAUCUUGAGGUACAAAGAUAGAAUAUGUGUUCCCGAUAUAUAUGGAUUGCGAGAAAGGAUCAUGGUUGAGGCUUACGGGUCAUGUUAUACUAUUUAUCCUAGUUCGAUGAAGAUAUAUCUUUAUCUUAAGGAUAUUUAUUAGUCAAUUAAUAUAAAGCAGGAUGUGGACAAUUUUGUGACUAAGUGCAUUAUGACCAAGUGAAGGUUGAGCACUUGAGGCUGGGUGGGUUAUCUUAAGUGAUUGAGUUACUUGUAUGAAAAUGGGAGGUAAUCAAUAUGAACUUUGUUAUCGGCCUUCCUCGGUCUCGGAAUCAAUUUGAUUUAAUUUGGAUCAUCGUGGAUCGGAUAACUAAGUCUGCUCACUUCUUGCUAGUGAGGACUAAUUAUUUGUCUAACGAUUAUGCCAAGUUGUUUCUGGGGGAUAUCGUGAAGUUGCAUGGUACUCCAGUUUCUAUUAUUUUGAAUCAUGGUACACACUUUCUCAUGUCACUAUUGGUGAACAUUUCAGAGAUGUUUAGGAACUAAUAUGAGCCUUAGUAUUAUAUUUCAUCCGCAGACAGAUGGGCAAGCGGUAAAGAUGGUUUAGGUCUUAGAAUACCUGCUUUGGGCUUGUGUGAUUGACCAAUGUGGUAGUUGGGCUGAUCAUUUCCCUCUCAUAGAAUUUGUAUAUAAUAAUAGUUAUAACUCUAGCAUGGGUAUGGCUCUUUUUGAGGGAUUGUAUUGUAGGAGGUGUCGUUCUCCUAUUGGGUGGUGUGUUGUUAGUGAAAAUAAGUUGUUUGGUCCUGACAUAGUUUACCAGGCCAUAGAGAAAGUGAAGGUGAUUCGGGGUAGGCUUAAGACUACCCAAAGUCGCCAAAAGUCCGAUGUAGAUAUGAGGCAUAGUGAGUUAGAGUUUGAGGUUGGUAAUUGGGUGUUCUUAAUUUUAUCUCCCAUGAAGGGAGUCAUGCAGCUUGGAAAGAAGGGAAAGCAUAGUCUUUGUUAUGUUGGUCUGUUAGUCUUCUGCUCCGUUAUCUGCUGAGCAUGGACCAUCAAGCUAGCCAAGUACAUCUCCUUAAUCAAUAUUGCGGUCCGACACUCCCUGACCAUACUGUCGGAUACACCAGACACAAACUUACUUAUCUUAGAUCUGCUAUCUGCUACCACAUGAGUAGCAUACCUGGCUAACUGAGUAAACUUGAGGGAAUACUCCUUCAGUCAUGCUGCCAUGCUUAAGGUUUAUGAACUCUAACACCUUAGCUUUCCUCAACUCCAACGGGAAGAACCUAUCUAGAAAGGCAGUAGCAAACUCUUCCCUUUCUAUAAACCUUGCAUCUGCGGGCCUAUCUGCCUUCCACUGCUUAAACCAUGUAUGAGCCACAUUCUGCAACAGAUAAGCUGCUAACUCAUCACUCUCACUAGCAGUUACCCCAUAAUAUUUGUUACCUUCUGUACCAUGCCAAGGAAUUCCUAUGGGUCUUCAGACUUAGACCCUAAAAAUGAAGGAGGGUUCACUCGGGUGAGUCCUAAAUUCUAGCUGCAGCAGUAUUGGCCACUGGGUUGGCCUGAACAGUAGCUAGGCGUUCAUUUUGGGCUGUUAUAGAAUAAGCUAGAGUGGUGAAAGCUAUUUUAAAUUCUGCAUGGGAGAAAUGCUCAUUCAGGGGAUCUUUCAUUACGGGUGGAGGUGCUAGCUGGUCUCCAGUUCUUCGUUCAUUUGUCUUUUUGGGAGGCAUGUUCUAUAAUCGAAAGGAAAAAUUGGAUUAGAUAAAGUGUUUAACUUGAGUGCAUGACUGCGGAAAGCUGAUAACUGAAUGCAAGGGUUCAUAUGCAUGAACAGUAACUGACUGAAUAAUAUAGAGUAACUGAAUAUUAAUACAAAGAUAAAUGAAACCACUAUAAAUACUGAGUAUGCAAUACUGUGCAUAUACAUGUAUACUGGAUCUUAGCCUUUACUAAAGCUGAGUACUGAUUUUUGAUACUGAGUAAUGAUAUCUAUGAUUACUAAUAACUAAAAUACUGAUACUGAGUGACUGUGUCUGAUAGACCUAAUUCUGUAGAACUGAACUGAGUUCUAUACUGAGACUAAAACUGAGAUUGUGGGAGGUAAUUAUCUAACCACCAUGCCCCAAAUAAGAUAAUUGGAGUCCAAUCUAUAACUCCGAUUGGAAGGGUGUCAGUACCAUGCCACGGGUAAAGACAAGAUGAAGAGUCACCCUCAUCUAGCAGGUGCCCUAAAUAAGAAUGGUGGUACCCUCAACUGGCAGGUAAAACGCCUUAUCAACCCUCAACUGGUAGGUUGAUGUCUUAACCUACGCUGGCUACGUAGUUCUGGAAUGCAAGGACAGCUACUAAGGGUCAUACCCUCUACUGGCAGGUGAGCCCCCAUCCUUAGGUUCACUCGGUACUAAAUCCUACUCCCAACUGAAGACACUGAUUACUAUACUGAGCUGAACUGGACUGAUACUGACUUUCACUGAGUUCUUUAACUGACUGAGUUCACUGAGUUUUGUAAUUGAUUGAGUUCACUGAGUUAUGCAACUGACUAAGUUCACUAAUUGUGACAUUACUGAGACUACUCUGUAACUGACAAUGGCUCUAGGUAAACAGCUAGAUUUUCGGGUAUUAAAUAUUCCCAGGACUUGAUAGCGUUAAAAAUAAAGCAUAGCAUGAUCAUAAAAACAUAAUGAUACUUGCUUGCUAACAAUGCACUCAUUUAGAUAUUAUGUCAAACACUUGUAUGGCAUGAACUUGUAUAUGAACAGGACCACAUAAUAACAUGUCAUAAAAUUCACUAUCCAAUGCACUUGAGCAUUUUAUUAAACACUUGGGGAGCAUGAUUAUUUCAUAUAUCAAUAAACAUAUAAUAAUAUCAUUGCUACUACAUUCAACUUGUAAUUCAAGAGUUCAACAUGAAGAUCACAUAAUUCAAUCCACAAACCAACUAUUUUUCAUGAGACUUGUAAUUAAUCAUGGAAUUAAAUCCCCAAUAAUAUCAUAAACAUAAAUUCAAUCUAUUUCAAGUAUGGAAAAAAUAAAUCUUAGAUCUUGUAUGUUUAAACAAGGGUUCUUGGAUUUCAUGGGUGAAAGGAACCCAUGAAUGAACACCUAACAUACCUUAGAAGAUUAAUUCUUGAAGGUUCUUGGAGGAUUUCUUGAGCUUUGUUCUUGAUUUUUAAAGCUAGGGUUUUGCCCUUUUGAGAGAGAAUGAUUUAAUUUGGGGGAAAAUUAGGUGAAUAAUGAUAUAAUCCAAUUAGUGCUCUUUUAGGGAUUAAUUUCAUGUUUAGGACUAAUUAGGUCCAAUAUCAAAUUACCCCUAGGAAUAAUUAAAAUUUUAUCACUAAAGAGUCCCAAUUUUGUCCUCUACCAAAAUGGGACUGACACUAUUUAAAAAGGGACGAAUGUGAAAUGGGCUUGUGGCACAAUGCGGUGGUAUCGCGUUGCCACACUAGAAAUUGACAGUAGAGAAAAUGGCACUUGGUGCAACGCGGUGGGAUCGCAGUCCCUCACUAGAAAAUGACAAUUGUGAACUGGAACAUUCGUGCAACACGCCAUUAUCAUGGAGCUUUACUGGAAACGGACGAAUGCUAUUUGGCUGGUCUCCACAAUACGGUGAUGUGCCAUUUGGUAUACUAUUUUGCAAAAACUACUAUAACUUCUCACCUGGGUAUCAGAUUUGGGUGAAUUUUAUAUCGUUGAAAAGCGGACUAAAUUUCCUACGCAAUAGUAAUCUCUAAAAUGAAAAAUUCUAAAUAUUUUUAAAAAUUUUAUGAGGAAUACUCAUAUACUGAGAGUUAAGCUGAGCUAGGGAAAUAUGGGGUAUUACAAUAUCUCCCCCUUGAGAAUAUUCAUCCUUGAAUGAGACUAAUUAAGCUAAGAAAUGUUGAUAGACUAAGUUUAUAUAUACUGAUCAUGCAUAUCUAAUGUAUGAGUGCAUGACUGAAACUACUGAUAAGCUGAGUUUUUAUACUGAACAUGCAUACCUGAUGCAUGAGUACAUGGCUGAACUGAUUCAUGAAUGCAUGACUGUCAUGAAGAUGAUAUGCAAUGAUAAUGAAUACCAAAUUUAUAACUAUAACUAAACAUGGAACUAAGUCUAAGGAAGACUUUUACCUUAAGCUGAGUCUGAGUUUGCAGAGAAGAGGUGAGGAUACUUGGUCUGUAUAUCUGCUUCUGUUUCCCAAGUAGCUCCCUCAAUGGACUGAUUUUGCCAAAGAACGUUGACUAAGGGAACUUAUUUUUUCCUCAGUCUACGAAUUUGAUAAUCAAGGAUUUGGAUUGGAACCUCUUCGAAAGAGAGAGCAUUCUGAAUAUCUACGCCCUCUAAAGAAACUAUGAUUGCUGGGUCACCAAUGCAUUUCUUUAGCAAGGAGACAUGGAAUACUAGGUGCACUAAAGCUAGAUCUGAAGGCAACUCAAGCUCGUAAGCUACCUUUUCGAAGUGGUUGAGAAUUCUGUAAGGACCAACAUACCGGGGACUGAGCUUUCCCUUCUUACUGAACCUCUUCACCCCCUUCAUGGGAGAGAUUUUCAAGAACAAAAAAUCAUCGAUCCCAAACAUGAGAUCUUUCUUCCUCAUAUCUGCAUACAAUUACUAUCGACUCUGGGCUUCCCUAAGCCUUUUUCUAAUCAACUGAACCUUUUCUAAGGCAUCAAAUACUAAGUCAGGUCCUACUACUGUAGCCUAGCCAACUUCAAACCAACCAAUUAGAGAUCUAUAUCUCUUACCAUAAAGAGCCUCAAACGAAGCCAUCUGAAUACUGAAAUGAUAGCUGUUAUUAUAUUUAAAUUCGAUCGAAGGUAAGUGGUCAUCCCUACUACCCUUAAAAUCAACAACGCAGGCUCUUAACAUAUCUUCUAGAGUUUGAAUGGUCCUUUCUGCUUGACCAUCUGUCUAAUGGUGGAAAGUUGUACUGAGAUGAACUUGGGUAUCAGACCUUUUAGAAUGCUUUCCAAAAGUGAGAGGCAAACUGGGUACCUCUACCUGAGAUGAUAGACACUGGGACUCCAUGUAACCUGACCAACUCUCUAAUAUAGAGUUUAGUGUAGUCCUUGGCUGAAUAAGAAGUAUGAACUGGAAAGAAAUGAGCAGAUUUAGUCAUCCUGUCUAUGAUAACCCAAAUCGAAUCAUGCUGAUGGCAGGUACGAGGCAAACCCAUCAUAAAGUCCAUGUUCACUUCUUCCCAUUUUCUUGUGGGAAUACUGAACUCCUACAUGGACCUACUAGCCUUCUGGUGCUCAAUCUUAACCUGCUGACACAUAGAGCACUUAGAUAUAAACUCUGUAAUGUCUCUCUUCAUCCUACUCCACCAAUAGAUCUCCCACAAAUUGCGGUACAUCUUAGUGGCCUCUAGAUGAAUCAAAUAACGCUCACCGUGCUCUUCUGUAAGAAUUCUCUUCCUCAAGUUGUCUACAAUUGGCACACAUUAUCGACCCUGGCAAUUCAAUACACUAUCUUUCCCUUGGGAGAAAACCUCUACUUUUUUAUCUCUAACUGACUCUUUCAACUGAACUAGACUGGGAUCUCUAUCCUGCUUUUCCUUUACUUCUAAAACUAAAGAUGACUCUAAAGUAUUCUGCACCCACACACUGCCCUCUAUUGAAUCGACUAAGCGGACACCUAGUCCGGCAAGCUGAUGAACUUUCGAGCUAAAUUCUUCUUAUCAUCCUUAACAUAAGCAACACUACCCAUAGACAAUCUACUGAGAGCAUCAGCCACUACAUUGGUCUUGCCCAGAUGGUACAUAACACUCACGUCAUAAUCUUUCAAUAAUUCUAACUAUCUUCUCUGAAGCAAAUUCAAAUCUUUCUAAGAAAACACAUACUAUAAGCUUUUGUGAUCUGUGAACACAUCAACAUGCAUCCCAUAAAAAUAAUGCCUCAAAAUCUUUAAGGCAAACACUACAGCUACUAACUCAAGAUCAUGGGUAGGGUAAUUCUUUUUAUGGGAUUUAAGUUGUCUACAGGCAUAGGCUAUGACCUUACCUCUUUGUAUGAGGAUAUAACCCAAACCUACUCUAGAUGCAUCAUAGUACACAAUAAACCCAUCAGAAUCAUCUGGUAUAGUCAAAACUGAGGCUGUAGUGAGUCGAUUCUUUAACUCCUGAAAACUCCUCUCACAGGAAUCUGACCACUGGAACUUAAAUUUCUUCUGAUUCAAUCUAGACAUGGGGGAUGCAAUAGAUGAAAACCCUUCAACAAACCGAUGGUAAUAGCCAGCUAAACCCAAGAAGAUCCUGAUAUCUGAUGGAGAAAUAGGUCUAGGCCAGUUUCUCAGCACUUUGGUCUUUUAAGGAUUAACUCUAAUGCCAUCACCAAAAAUAAUAUGACCAAGGAAGGCUAUUGACCUUAGCCAAAAUUCAUACUUACUGAAUUGGGCAAACAACUGAUGGGCUCUGAGAGUCUGAAGUAUAAUUCUGAGGUGGUCUGCAUGAUCAUUUUUGGUACGGGAGUAAAUAAGGAUGUCAUCAAUAAAGACUAUAACAAACAUGUCCAAGUACUGCUUGAACACGCAGUUCAUUAAGUCCAUAAGGCUGCUAGGGCAUUUGUAAGACCAAAGAACAUGACUAAAAAUUCAAAGUGACCAUACCGGGUUACAAAAGCUAUUUUUGGAAUGUCACAUUCUCUGACUCUGAGCUGGUGAUAUCCUGAUUUGUGGUCUAUCUUAGAAAAGUAAUUGGCUCCCUAAAGUUGGUCAAACAAGUCAUCGAUUAUAGGAAGUGGAUAUUUAUUCUUGACUAUGACUUUGUUCAACUGACGAUAGUCAAUACAUAUCCUAAAAGAACCAUUUUUCUUAUGCACGAAUAGAACUGGUGCGCCCCAUAGGAGAAUACUGGGUCUGAUGAACCCUUUGUUUAAAAGGUCCUUUAACUAUUCUUUUAAUUCUCUGAGUUCAAUUAGAGCCAUUUUGUACGGCAGAAUAAAUAUGAGCUGAGUAUCUGGAAGAAGGUCUAUUCCAAAGUCAAUUUCCCUUUCGAGAGAAACUCCAGGAAGAUCUUCAGGAAACACAUUUGAGAAUUCAUUUACUACUAGAACUGAAUCAAGACUAGGAGUCUCUGAACUAGAGUCUUUGACUCAUAUAAGAUGAUAGACACAUCUCUUGGAUAUCAUUUUUCUCACUCUAAGGUAUGAAAUCAACUAACCCUUAAGCGUUGUGGUACUACCCUCUAUUUAAGGACUAGUUCAUUUGGAAACUGAAAAUGAACAAUUUUGUUUCUACAAUCAACUAAGGCAUAGCAUGAAUGGAGCUAAUCCAUUUCGAGAAUGACAUUGAAAUCCAUCAUCUCUAUCUCUAUUAAGUUUGCUGAAGUGACUUUCUGAGAUAUCAUAAUCGGACAGCUCUUGUAUACCCAUCGGGCUAUGAUGGACUGACCCACUGGGGUAGAGACUGAGAAAGGCUCUGUUAAGAUUUUUGGUCUGACUUUGAAAUUGACUGCUAUGUAAGGAGUUACAAAAGACAAAGAAUCUUAUGGAUCUAAUAAGGCAUAAACAUAUAAAUGAAAUAUUUGUAACGUACCAGUGACUACAUCAGGAGAACUAUCCUGAUCUUGCCUGGACUGAAGUGCAUAAAACCUAUUGGGCAUUGCCCACUGGUGUCACUAGAGGUGGCACCCUACUGAUUUGAGCGACCGGACUGAGUUGAGGAAUGAUUGUACUGACCUUGCGAACCUGACUGAGGACAAUCUCUGAUUCUAUAGCCUGGCUUGCCACACCCAAAACAAAUAUCACUGCCAACUCUGUAGAACCCUGAUGGUUUCUACCAUAUUUCUGGCAAAGAGAAUUCGUUCGAGCGCUACUAAUACUACCCUGAGAUUUAGAGUCUGGCACCCUAUCCUUGUUAUCAUUUCUAAACUUAGCUGCUGGAGCACUUCGGGCAAAACUGCGAAUGGUUACCACCCUCUAACUUAGGCUGAGAGAAAUUAAAGCUACCUAUUCUAGAUCUCUUAUUCUCUCUCUUUCUCUCUCUCUCUUUCCUUAUUUUUAACCUUUUCUAUCUGUUGAGAAUGGACCAUGAUCCUCAAUAUGUCCAUCUCCUUAAUCAACAUCACAUUUCUGCACUCCUUAACCAUACUUUCUGACACCCCUAACAUGAACUUGCUUAUUCAGGACCUACUGUCUUCUACUACGUGGGGAGCAUAUUUGGCUAACUGACUAAACUUGAAGGAAUACUCUUUCACACUCAUUCUGACUUACCUGAGAUUGAUAAACUCUAACACCUUGGCUUUUCUCAGCUCUAAGGGAAAGAAUCUAUCUAGAAAAAUAGUAGCAAACUCUUCCUACUCUAUAGUCUUUGUAUCUAUGCCCCUAUCUACCUUCCACUGCUUAAACCACGUAUGAGCUACAUCUUGUAGCUGAGGUAAAUAACUCAGUACACUCACUAGAAGUUACUCCCAUAAUAUCUAUGACUUUCUAAACCUAAUCGAUGAACUCCUGUGGAUCCUCUUCAGUAUUGGCCACUGGUUUGGCCUAAACAGCAGCUGGUCAUUCAUUCUGAGCUGCAACUAAAUGGGCUAAAGUGGUGAACGCAGCUCUGAAUUCUGCAUGAGAGACAUGCUCGUCCAGGGGAUCUAAUUGAACGGGAUGAGGAACUAACUGGUUUUUGAUCCUUCUUUUGUUAGUCUUUUUGGGAGGCAUGUUCUGUAAAUGGAAGGAAGAAACAAAUUAGAAUGAGAGUUUAACUUGAGCUCAUUCUCACUCGCAGGACGUGAAUACUAAAAGAAGGGAAACAUUUCCUCAAAACGUCUCAUAGCCUCUUGUCCAUAAGUAUGGCGUGCUACACACACAUGCACAAGACUCUACUAGAUGUGUCUUUUUGACUCUCUAGGACACUUUUAAACCUUAGGCUCUGAUACUAAUUUUGUAACACCCCGAGUCUGUACCACGGACUCCAUACGGUGCUUACGACCCCUAAGGACCACAAGCUAACCCAUGGCUGAUAUUUGAUGUGAGCACUGAAUAAUAAUACUAAAAUAAUGCAAAAAUAGGCUAAAUUGCCAUAAGAUUCAUAAUUUGAACGUUGAUAAAUAUAGUACUGAAAUAACAUAUAACAAAACAUAUGAAUUCUGAAUACUGACUGAACUAGUCUAGUCUGAAAAGCCUCUAAAUAACCCGUCUGAAUGUGGAGUUGAUAGUGUUGAAACCUAAUUUUUGCCCUCCAUAACCAAGUUUAAUUUCGAGCUUCUUCGAUUUUUAAUAAAAUUGAAAUAUUUAUUUCGUCUGAAUAAAAACUUUUUCAAAAGAAAAAUAUAUUUGUUUGGGGAAGUUUGUCAUUUUAAGUAGCGAUUAUAUAUUGUCGUAGUCAAUUGUACAAAAUUUAUAAUUUGGCUACUUAAAUAUUUAUUUUACAAAAUAUCGGAUUUUAAUCAAGGCUAAUCUUGAAAAUAAAUUUAAAAUAUUGAAAUCUUGAUUUAAAUAUGUCUUUAUUUCUCAAAAUAAUUUAUUUGGAUAAAUAUGUAUUUGAUUUUUUUAAUUAAGAAGCUUGGGAUUAAACAAGUGUUUAAUUCAUUUAGAAUUUCGGUUUAAUUUAGCCAAAUUAUUAAAUAUGACCAUAAUUGAAAUCAAGUUGACCACAAUUGCAAUGCAAUUAAUCAAAUUGAUAUUCAUUAUGGUUAAUAUUUAAAUAAAGUUCUCUAAUUUAAUUCGGCCACCUUUUAAAGACCCUUCCUAUUUCUAAUCUCCCAACAACAACAAUUUUGGGCCUGGCCCAAUCAACGACAAUCAGCCAAAAAUGGCCCAACACAAUAACCUCCCCAAGCCCAAUCCACAUAAUCCAACCCGGGCCCAUUCCUUUUCUUCUUCAAAUAACCAACACUCCAAUCUCAGCCUUAAACACCAGCUUUAACAUCAACGUGAACAACUUCUAUUUUCCCUCAAAACCUCUAACCCAAUCAAUCAUUAAUGACAUCAAUCAUCGGCAAAACUUGAUUCCACCAGCCCCCUCUAUAACCCAUUCACAACCUAUAUCAAUAAUUCAAAAUUGAUGCCAUACCCGACCCAUCGAGAAGCGACCUCAACUCGUUGCUUGCAUGUAUCAUGUGCCUUUCCACGUGGAUUCAUACAAAAAUAGCCUCGAAUCUUCUAGAAUAUGGUGAGCUGGCUCUUUCCAACAUCAAAAUCGCACAAAUCUUGGGUAAUCGGUAUGGAUUCGUACGUUCUUGGAAAUUUUUGAUUGGUUGAUGAGGGAAUUUCGCUUCCUUAUUCCCUAUUUUUGAAUUAUUAGGAAGAUUCCAAAUGGAGUACUAAUUUUUGAACGGGAAACCCAAGCUGGAGAGAAAUUUUUGAAUUUUCAAAUUUCAAAAUAUCCUUUUUUUUAAGUCCCAAGUUACCCCUAAUUCAUCAUCUAUAUAAGAACCCAUUGGGUCAUUAUUUAAAAGGGGGGAGAGAGUUCAAAAAUUCUUGGGUGGGGAAAGUUUGGGAGAAAAUUUUAGGUUUUGCUUUCUUUUGAAAAAUUCAAGGUUUCAGAAUUAGAGUUGGAAAUUUUGGGGGUUCAGAAAUACUGGAGGAAGCCAGGUUGAAAAUAUUAGUUUGAGAGAAAAGUUUUCUGAAAGCUGGUCGAUCAAUUGGGAAUUCCCUAAUCGAUAACAUUAACUCCCUAUGGUAACGGUUUCACUGAUAGCUCGUCAUCCCGUUUUGCUAUCCUUAAAAAGGUAAAUACAUUUCACUUUCCUUUAGUUAUUAUUUUCUGACGUCAUCUCUUUCUUAGUAGUCGUAGUUGCUGGUCGUAUCCGUGAAUGAGGCUGGUAUUUUGUGCUGUCGACGGUUAUAAUGGCCCUAGAGGUUGUCUUGUGAUUAUUGUUAUGCUAUUUCAUUGAAGUAGUGGUCAAGUUGAGAUUUUUAAGGCAAUUACAUCGAAUAUACUGCCUUUUUUAAUUGAUGCUUGCUGUUUAUCUAGGAUUUUAUGACAUGAAUCGUGUAUAUACAUUAUCAAGAUUUCGUCUUUUAGUUGCCCCUCUAGAUUUAAUGAUUCUUGUUGCGUUAGGUUAAUCGUUGUCUGAAUUAUUUGACAUGAUUUUAGAUUCACUUUACAUCAUUGGAUUUGGAAAUUUAUUGUUUAAACCUUGAUCUCGUCGGUUAAUUAUCCACUUAUUGUCUUCAUCUUGUGUGUUGUUUAAGGUUCGAUGUAUUGUUCUUGGUUGAUUUCAUGCCUUAGUUUUCACUCCACUGUUCAGUUUCCACUCAACAAUUUGUCUCGAUUGAUUAUUUCCUUUUGUAAGUCGUGUUUAGUUCUAUUUUUCUUAAACCAUUGUAGCAUCAAAAUUAUGUCAUGUUUAUACUCGAAUAAUGCGUCUUGGCGUGCUAUGUUUCAGCUAAACACCUAGUCUGGGCGUCUUGUUUAGCAUAGCUUUCCUAAUGUGAUUAUUAUUAUCCCCUUAGUUUUAUCCUUAACAUGAAGCUAUUGAUAAUUGGAUCAACAGGUCAUAGGACGACUUAUCCCUCUUUCGUUAUUUAACCUGAAAUUCCAUUAUAUCUUUGUUCGGGUUGCUGUUUUGGUAUUUUUCGCUCAUGGUCAAAAUUUGAAUAUUUUCCCUAUUUUCUAUUGAUGAAAUAUCAAACUGUCUCUAAAUAAUUCAGUACGCACUCUUAUGCCGACUAGUUUGAAUUAGAAAUGUAGUGUGAUUACGUGCUUGAUCCUCUCUGCUUACAAAUCUUAAAUUAGUUUUUACUUACGACUUUAUACAUGAUCAACUGUCUUUAAGGUUUCUGAUGUAUUUAUGCUGGUAAGAAUUACUUAAGAUUAGGUUGGGAAUCAGUUGAUCUAUCACGUAGCAGUGAUUUGCGUUUGUACUUUUGUUCAUUGUCCAACAUUUUUGCUCGUUUAAAUCAUCAAAUGAUCUCAAAUCAUGUCAAACGUCUAUUUAGAUAAUGUUGUUUUCCAAAUUAUUUCUUCAUCUCCUAUUUCCUACUUUUUUAAUCUACGUGAUGUUUUUUUUAUCUGGGCAUGAUUUCUCUAUAUAGCUUUGCUUUCUUCUACUACCCUAAUCUUUACCCUCUUUGCUACAUGUGCUAUUUUCUUUGAAUAAAAACAAAUGGAUUCGAUUCCCCAUCGCAUUCUCUUCAUGGCCAUUAAGGCCCAUCAUCUCGAUCGAGUCAACUCCUAGAGAAAGUUCAACAUUGAUCUCAUGACAUACUGAAAACAAGAGGUCCAAAAUAAGAAUGGGGGUGAAAGUCCUAUCAUUUGAAGCAGCCACGAGACCCAAUAGUCUCAUUUAUCAUUUUAUCCAUUUACUUAUUGUCGUCUUUAUUUAUGUAUUUAUUUAUUUUCUUAUGUAUUCAUUUGGGCCUCGAAGCCAAAGUUGUACUUAAUACAGGUGAAGCGAAGCUCAAGCCAAAAUCUCGAAAACAUAGACUAGGACAGGCGAUGUGGGUCAAAGGCCCAACUAAAUUAGGACAGGGGCGACAAUUUGGGCAUAAAAAGCCUAAAUCACUAUUUCUCCCUUUUCCCUUUUCCCUUUUCCCUUAUUCUUUUCGCUUACUUGUUUUACGUGUUUCUUGCGAGCCUAGCUAAAUCCCUAACUAAGUCGCUAAAAAAAUAAUUUUGCAAAAACUUUUCCCCACUCAAUCAUUUUUUCAAACAAGUCGAUUUUUUCAAAAGUUAGUCAAAAGAAUGUUUUCAAAUAGUCCGGAUAACCGCAAGUUAGCGGACGUUUUAGGUGCCUAACACCUUUCUAAAACGUUAAUAAGAACCGCUUACUCAAAGUCUCUUAACUUAAAUGAUUUUUCUAUUUUGGAUCGUUUGAAAAAACUCUCUAAAGGUUUCUUAAUUCCUUUUCAAAAUUAAGUGGCGACUCUCUUUCAAAAGUCAAAAAAUUUCUCCGCAAAACAGAUAGGACAAGCCCCCAACUAACUCCGACUACUAAGACAUUGAUAUAAAAUUAUAUCCUCGAUAGAUGAGGACUCACUACUAAAUCUACGACUACUGACUGAAUUCGUCUAAGCGCGAUCAGGAACCUGAGCGUCCGAACCUAUGAUAUGAGACAUCAUAGCGCAAAGAAAUAGUAUGUAUUAGUAGAAUGUACUAGUAUGCUAGAUGAGGUAAGGUUGAAUGCAAGGGUUAAUAUGCAUGAACAGUAACUAACUGAAUAAUAGAGAGUAAUUAAAUAUGAAUAAAUGGAUUACUGAAACCACUAUAAAAUACUGAGUAUGCAAUACUGUUCAUAUACAUGUAUACUGUAUCUGAGCUUUUACUAAAGUUGAGUAUUGAUUUCUGAUACUAAGUAACUGAUAUUUGUAAUCACUGAUAACUGAAUUACUGAUACUGAGUGAUUGUGUCUGACAGUCCUGAUUCUAUAGAACUGAACUGAGUUUUAUACUGAGACUGAAACGGAGACUGUGGAAGGUAAUUAUCUAACCGACAUGCCCCAAAUAAGAUAAUUGGUGUCCAACCUGUAACUCCAGUACCAUGCGGUGUCAGUACCAUGCCAUGGGUAAAGACAAGCUGAAGAGUCACCUUCAUCUGGCAGUUGCCCUGAACAAAAAUAGUGGUACCCUUAACUGGCAGGUAAAACACCUCAUCAACCCUCAACUGGCAGGUUGAUGUCUCAACCUACGCUGUCUAUGUAGUUUUGGAAUGCAAGGACUGCUACUAAGGGUCACACCCUCUAAUGGCAGGUGAGCCCCCAUCCUUGGGUUCACUCGGUGUUGAAUCUUAUUACUAACUGAAGACACUGAUUACUAUACUGAGCUGAACUGGACUGAUACUGAGUUUUGUAACUGACUGAGUUCACAGAGUUUUGUAACUGACUGAGUUCACUGAGUUCUGUAACUGACUGAGUUCACUGAUUGUGAUAUUACUGAGACUACUCUGUAAUUGACUAUGGCUCUAGGUAAACAGCUAGCUUUUUGGGUAUUAAAUACCCCCAGGACUCGAUAGCGUUGAAAAUAAAGCAUAGCAUGAUCAUAAAAACAUAAUAAUACUUCCUUGCUAACAAUACACUCAUUUAGAUAUUUUGUCAAACACUUGUAUGGCAUGAACUUGUACAUGAAUGGGACCACAUAAUAACAUGUCAUAAAAUUCACUAUCCAAUGCACUUGAGCAUUUUAUCAAACACUUAGGAAGCAUGAUUAUUUCAUAUAGCAAUAAACAUAUAAUAAUAUCAUGGAUACUACAUUCAACUUGUAAUUCAAGAGUUCAACAUGAAGAUCACAUAAUUCAACCCACAAACCAUCUAUUUUCAGGAGACUUGUAAUUAAUCAUGGGAUUAAAUCCCAAUAAUAUUAUGAACAUGAAUUCAAUCUACUUAAAGCAUGAAAAUCAUAAAUCUGAGAUCUUGUAUGUUUACAAAAGGGUUCUUGGACUUCAUGGGUGAAAGGAAUCCAUGAAUGAACACCUAACAUACUUGAGAAGAUUAAUUCUUGAAAGUUCUUGGAGGAUUUCUUAAGAUUUGUUCUUGAUUCUUGAAGCUAGAGUUUUGCCCUUUUGAGAGAGAAUGAUUUAAUUUGGGAGAAAAUUAGGUGAAUAAUGAUAUAAUGAGCAAUUAGUGCCCUUUUAGGGCAUAAUUUUGUGUUUAGGACUGAUUAGGGCUGUGAAAAAAUACCAAAUUACCCCUAGGAAUAAUUAAAAUUUUGUCACUGAAGAGUCCUAAUUUUGGUCUCCACCACGAUGCGGUGGCAUCGCGGUGAGCCACUGGAAUGGAGUUGACACUGUUUAAAAAGGGAUGAACGUGAAAUGGGCUUGUGACGCAACGCGGUGGUAAUGCGUUGCCAGACUAGAAAUUGACAAUUGGGAAAAUGGCACUUGGCGCAGCACGGUAGGAUCGCGGUCCCUCACUGGAAAAUGACAAUUGUGAAUUGGAACAUGGCGCGAUGCACCAUUAUCACAGAGCUUUACUGGAGACAGACGAAUGCCAUUUGGCUGGUCUCCGCAACGUGAUGGCGAACUGUUUUACAAAAACUGUUAUAACUUCUCACCCGGAUAUCGGAUUUGGGCGAAUCUUAUGUCGUUGGAAAGCUAACUGAAUUUUCUACGUAAUAGUAAGCUCUGAAUUGAAAAAUUCUGAAUAUUUUAACAAUUUUAUAAGGAAAUACUCGUAUACUGAGAGUUAAGUUGAGCUAGGGAAAUACGGGGUAUUACAACCUCAUAAAGAUAGUAAUGCUAGAUUUUCAAUAUGAACACCACGGAUAAAAACUCCAAGUCAUGAGCCAGAUAGCUCCUCAUAAACCUUUAACUGUCUAGAGGCAUAAGCACCUUACCAUGCUGCAUCAAAACACAACCCAAACCAACCUGAGACGCGUCCCAAUUGUUGACGAAUCCCUCGGUGCCUUCAGACGGAGUCAAGACUUGGUCUAAAGUCAUCUUAUCUUUCAACUUCUUAAAGGUACCCUCGCAAGCAUCAGAACACAAGAACUUCACCUUCUUCUGAGUCAACUUGGUCAAUGAGGCAGCCAUGGAAGAAAAACUUUCCACAAACCUUCUAUAAUAACCGACUAAACCCAAGAAGCUCUGAAUAUCAAUUGGAUUUGUGGUCUAGGCCACUUCUUAACCACUGCAACUUUCUGUGGAUCACCAUGAUCCCUUCACUAGAAAUGACAUGACCCAGAAAUGUAACAACAUUCAACCAGAAUUCACAUUUCAAAAAUUUGGCAUACAACUACUGAUCUUUCAAGGUCUACAACAUAAUGCGGGGGUCACAAUGCGGGGGUGAUCGGCAUGAUCCACCUUACUCUUAGAAUACACCCAAAUAUGACGGAAGACUCUAUUCAUCAAGUUCAUGAAUGUCGAGGCGUUAGCCAGACCAAAAGACAUUACCAAGAAUUCAAAUGCCUAUACCGGGUGUAGAAAGUUGUCUUAGGGAUAUCCACCUACCUAAUCUUUAACUGAUGAUAUCCAGAUCAAAGAUCAAUCUUAGAGAAAAACUUGCCACCCUGAAGUUGAUCAAACAAAUAAGUUAUCCUUGGAAAAGGGUAUUUAUUCGUUAUCGUUACUUUAUUCAACUGUCGGUAAUCAAUACAUAUCCGAAGGGAACCAUCCUUCUUAUGCACGAAUAAUACCGGUGCACCCUAUGGAGACACACUAGGACAAAUGAAACCCUUGUCUAAGAGAUCCUUCAACUGCUUCUUGAGUUCCUUCAACUCAACUGGAGCCAUUCCAUAUGGGGGGAAUGAGAUAGGACGAGUGUCCGAAACAAGUUCAAUACCAAAAUCAAUCUCCCUAUCUGGAGGGACACCAAGAAGAUUAUCAAGGGAAACCUCUGAAAAUUCACUAACCACGAAUAUGAAUGCUAUGAAGGACUCUCAGAGUUAGAAUCUUUAACCCGAACCAAAUGAGAGAGGCAUCCCUUGGAAAUUAAUUUUUGGGCUCUAAGAUACGAUAUGAACCUCCCCUUAGGCUUUAGGAAACUUACCUCCCCAACAGUUGGUUCAUUAGGGAAUUUAAACAUAACCUUACGGGUCUAACAGUCUAAAGAGGCAUAGCACCAGUGCAGCCAGUCUAUCCCCAAAAUAACGUCAAACUCAAUAAUGUCUAACUCUAUCAGAUCUACCAGAGUUUUCCUACCACCAACGGAUACCACACCCCCUUAUAAACUAUUCUAGCAACUACAGAGUCAACCACCGGGGUAGACACAGAAAAAGAAUCAGAAAUAUACUCAAGAUCAAAUACACAGCUACAAAUAGGGUCACAUAAGAGAGAGUGGACCCUAGAUUAAGUAAAUAGUAAACAACACAGGAAAAGAGUUUCAACAUACUAGUAAUGACAUUGGGAGAUGCCUCAAAGUACUAACGAGAAACAAGAGCAUAUUAGCAAUUUCGGCUAGUACCGGUACAAGAAGCAGAAGCAGCAACCAUUGGUGCAAGAGCUGAUAAAGAGAAAAUGGGAACUUUAUUGGCCCCAGAAGCAAACAAGAAGGACAAUCACACUGCAUAUGGCCAAUCUAACCACAAUUAAAACAUCGGUUUCUCCCUUUCUCACGUUAACCACAGUGCGGCUGACCACAAAAUCUACAAGGAGGAUAUGAUGAAGCAAACUGAGCCCCUACUAGCCUGAUAUUGGGCAUCCUAUGCCCUGUACCCUCCACCAUGCUAUGAAAAAUAAUCACUCGACGACUUUGGUAAAGAGUACUAGCCGUAGAGAAAGAACCAAAACUCCUCCACUUCUUCUUAGGACACUUUCCCUCAUCUCUACCACUCUACUGCUAGCCUCCAGCCUGAUCAAAAAAUCUAAAUUUCUUACUCUACCUUUCACCAAUCUUGGUCUGCUUCUUCUAUUCUUUCUUAAACUGCUGCAUAUACACCACAAGCCGAGAAAUAUCCAUAUCCUUAUUCAACAAGGUAGCCUUACUCUCCAAAAUCAACUCACAGGACAACCCAUUUGCAAAUUUACGCAUUCUAGCUCUCAUGCUAGACACCAACUCAGGAGCAUACCUGGAAAACUAAUUAGAAUUUCAAGGCAUACUCCUUGACUGACAUCCUACCUUGCCUCAGAUUCAUAAAUUUCUUCACUUUCAUCUCUCUCAGCUCCCGAGGAAAGAAAUAUUUCAAAAAACACACUAAAGAAGUCAUCCCACAGGGCUGACUCAGUAUCUCACCCCUAGACUAUUCAUAAUUGUCAUACCAUUGGUUUGUCACAUCCUUUAAUUGAUAGGCAGUAAACUCCAUACCUUCAACAUCUAAAGCAUGCAUAAUUAGGAUCUUUUCCAUCUCAUCAAUGAAAGCUUGAGGACCUUCCUCAAGUUUACCACUAGUAAGAGUUGGAGGACUCAACCUCAUAAAUUGGCUAACCCUUGUGGCCUCUGAAGAUGGAGUACUACGCUUGGACUGAGAAGCUACAGCUGAGCCAACAUAUGAAUAUAUUGAUGAAACACAGCAUUCGUCACAUCAUCCUGAAGAGCUCGAAGAGGGCUAUAAAGAAUCGGUGAAACUCCUAGAGGGCAAUCAGGAACUGGACCCUAGACCGGGUCUGAACCCCAUAAGCAGGGUGUGUCCCAUCAACAUUGUCCUCGAGUGAGACAAAGGAGUUUUCGUGAGAUUCAAAUCGUCAGGGAGGCAUGAUUUGAAAAGCAAACAAAUAGGAAUUAGAGAGUCUCAAAACCUUAAACUCUAUAGCUCAAAACAGAACAACAAGAAAGAGAAACAUUCCUAAAUGUCUCGUAGCCUCUCUCUUAUAAGUGUGGCGCGCUACACACCUAUAAAGAGACUUUACUUGACACGACUUUAUGGACACCCAACUAACCAUGAACCUAGGCUCUGAUACCAAUUUUGUCACGACUCGAACUAGGGCCAAAUCGUGAUGGGUAUUCCAGUUCCACCGGAGAUCACCUCUUUUUCCUAACUGAACCAACACAACAUCCCUAAAUGUCGAAUGAAUUCUGAACAUAUAACAAGAUAGCGCAUAGUAAAACUAAGAAUAAUUCAUAAUAUAUCUAAACCAACCAUCGAUAACCAAACAACUGUCCGUCAACCAAAAUAAUUAACCUACCACCUAAGUCCACAGUAGUCCGACAAAGCCUCUAUCAAAUCAAAAGUCAAUAAAAUAUCGGGAUAUGCCCCAAGAAUAGCAAAAUCCAAUAUCCAAAGAUAGUCAAAACAUAAAAAGGAAACCACAAUAUAAACAGGGGUUUUCCGAAGGAUGGAAGCUCACCAUCUAAAAAUUCUAUCCAAAAUGAAUAAGAAAAACUGGGUUGAUGACCAUUUACGGACCCACUUAUGGGCUGUAAGUGGUACUUACGGACCCCCAGAUCAAGUGUCAAACAAACUCUAGAGCCUUAGAAUACUAACCACGAAGGAACUUAUGAUGGGCGUAAGUGGUACUUACGCCCUCUAAGUAGUCCCUUCGUAACUAUCAAACAAAACUUCAGACUUCAUCCAUUCGUAACUAUCAGAUAAAACUUUAGACUUCGGGUUCUCAAACCCUUUUCUUCUGAUACUUAUGUGGCCAUUUACGAUGGUCGUAAGUGGGUCCAUAUGUAGGGUCUUCUGCACACUUUCACUCUUUUUCUUUCUUUAACUCCAGAACCAAGUUUCCUGCAAAAUAAACACAAAAACACAUCAUAUCUAACAAAACAGACCUAAGUACUUGCAUGUUUUCAAUUUUAAGCAUUGAAAGUGUCAUGAAAUCAUGGCACAUUACACAUACAGAGAAAAAGACAUCAAAAAUAAGGGCUCCACAUCAACAACAUACAAAUAAAGCAGCAAUCGUAAAAUAUCUUAAAUUGAGAAAACAUGUCGAGAGAACAAAAUCAUAAAAAAAAAUUAAAAUUUAAACAUUAAAUAACAUUGUUACACCAUUUAUAAAGACAAAAACACAAAUAGAAUACCCAACAUAUUUUUAGACUAUAAAAAAAUAAACCAAAUCAUAAAAAUAAAAACUUUUUAUGUUAAAGUUUACUUUUACACCAUUUACACAGACAAAAUCGUGAAACCCACAUGACAAUGAACUCUAUAUAUACAGAUUAUCUGGCCAUCAAUCAAAUUAAGUACCUAUUAGUUUGUAACCCUGAAAUAGAGGACUAACUUUUACCUUCUUAAACGAGCAUCAGAGAUUUCUUUGUCUUCUUGAAAUCGAAAGUAAAAGGUUGGAGAAGAUGAGCAGAUAAGUAGAUGGAUUGAGGGAUUUUGAAUUUUUAGGCUAUUUGAUCAAUAAUGUGGGGAUAUUAAAUGGGUGUGGUUGAGUUAUGUUAAAUGAAUCGGUACUUUUUAAUGGGUUUUAAAUAUUUUGAAAUUAAUAUUAAUUUAUUUUAAUUAAUGGCGUGGAUCUCUAAUAAGUGGUCACGUGGUAAAGUUGUUUUUAAAAACUAGCCGUUAAAAAGUAAUGGCAUGAAUAAAUUAGUUUUAUAACGGCGAUGACAUGAAUAACUGAACUUUUAACUAAUAACAUAAAUGAGUCAUUUCUUACGCUUCAACGACAUAUUUGAGUCUUUUUCUCAAAUGACUUAAUAGACCCUUGUACUAUGUCUGUUUUGUAAUGUGGACACUUCUACUUACAUGUUUGUUAUCUGGACCCUUGAACCCAUUAAAUAUAAUAUUUUAAACCCUUUGACCAUUGACCGAACUUAUGUGGCAUUAAAAUAGUUGAGUAGGACUAAACGUGUGUAGCCACGCGCCUGAGAUGAGAGUGAGGAUCAUUUUUUUUAUCAAUUUUACAUUAAAAUAAUUUUAAAAAAUUUAAAAAAAAAGUCCCCCCCACCCUUUCACCCCCUGCACCAGCCCCCAUUACCCCAUUCCUUUAUUUUUGUUUGUCGUUAAAUGUCAUGUCCAACACACCAAUAUAUAACCAUUAAUAGAAGGGACUUAUUCUUGCAAUUUUCAAUCCCCCACCAACGAUUGCAAUUUCCAAUCCCCCUUUUUCUUAAAAAGAAAAAUUUAUUCUUGCAAUUUUCAAUCUCCAAGGAAGAAAAGAACAACUCGGAUGAUUUUUCUUUUUGGACGACAUACGAGAAACCUCACCACCGUCGCUGCAGCUGCCGAUGACCAUGGCGACGAUUCAAUUUUCAUUCAAAUUUAAUUUUUUCAAUUAUAUCAUCUCCAAAUCUCCCAUGGAACAUCAAAAUUCGCUGAAAAAGUGAUAAAAUUCAUCAAAUUUGAUCAAUACCCAACUCCAAUUGUUAUCCCAAAUUCAAUUUUUGCCUAACAAAAAGGGUAGCACCUUUUCAUUUGCUCUUGCUUGUAAGUUCAAGACUUCUAAAUGGAAGAAAUUUAGCAAGAAAAAUUUUUUGGGAGUUCUUUGUUUGUAGAGAAAGAAUGGGGGAAUUGAGAGGGAUAGAGGAGAUGGAGAAUGACGAGGGUCUGGUGAGGGUCUCCUUUUUUUUUCUUUUUUUUUUAAAUUUAUAUUUUUGGCUUACUUUUGUAAAUGAAUUUUAUUUUAAAUUUUUUUAAUUUAUCAUUUUAUUUUUAUCAUUGAUUAAUAAUUUUAAAAAUUAAUUAAUGAAGAUAUUAUAACGUGAAAUUUAAUGAAGCAUUUAAAAUGACGUGGAAGUGACGUGGAAGCUGACGUGGCAAUAAUUGUAUUACACACACCGAAAUAGAGUUUAAAAUAUUACUUUUUAGUGAGUUCAAGAAUUCAGAUGACAAACAUAUAAGUAGCAGCAUUCACAUUAUAAAACGGACAUAGUAUAAAGGUAUAUCAAACCAUUUUGCCUUUAAAAUAUUAGUACAUGAUUAGGAGACAAAAAAAAAAUUGAAAUUCCAAAGUGAGGACACCGAACAAGUCACCAAAUUGUCUUGUUGCAAAAGUUAUAAAAACGGUAUCGUUUCGGUCGUCACCUUCCUCUCAUGAUUUCCGUUAACCCUUGUAACUGACAUUCUCAGUAGAAAAAAAUAUUAUGCCCACUUUUAUUUAGUUGUUUUACUUUGCCAUAUUUUGAGUCAAGUUAGUGCUAAUACAAAAAUGCAAGUAUCAAGGUUUCUCUUAAAUUCAAUCAAAAACCACUCUAAACAGACCCUAAAUACAUAUGAAAGGUAAGCUGCAUUUGUAUAAUCUAUACUUAAUUUAACACUGCUAAAAUUUUAUGGGUUUUGCUUACUUGAUUUUUUGUGGUUUUGGUCUUUUGUGGGUAAUUUUUGUUUGGUCUAUUGAGAACAGCCUCUCUACCUUAAGGUAGGGGUGCAGUGUGCAUACACUCUACCCUCUCCAGGCCGUAUUUUGUGGGGCGUAUGUUAGGGUUGUUGUUGGUUUAGUUAUUCUUUAUUUAAAUCCAAGCUAUGUAGUAAAUUUAAAUAUGCUUUUUGUCAAGUGUUGUAACUACAAAUAUUCUUUUGUAGUCUAUUAGUAUGUUACUAAUCUACUUAAGAUUUUGAAAAUAGCUUGGACGUAGUGGAUGAAGAUUUUGUGAGAAGAUUUUUCCCCUGACGUUGUAGUUAGUUGCUAUGUUUUUUUCACUGUUUCCUUCUUCUUUGUACUUGGAUUUGCUGCACUUGAGCCGAGGGUCUUUCAGAAACAACCAAUCUACCUCCACAAGGUAGUGGUAAGGUCUGGGUACUCUCUACCCUCCCUAGACCCCACUUAGUCGGAUUUCAGUGGGGAUGUUGUCCCUUGAUGAACCUCAAACUUUUGAAGGGGGUUUGAAGGAAGAUGAACCCUCCCUAUGUUUGGUUGUUGGAAGGGGAGAGGAAGGAAGAGGAGUAGAAAAUGAAGUGAUCUACUUCUCUUAGUGAGAAGCAUUAGCAAUUUAUUUUCUGUUGCUAGUGCAGUCGGAGAAAGUAAUGUUGGUAUAUUUUCUCCUAUAUUGGACGGAUCAGAAAUGUUGACAUGAAAAUUCUCUAGUUUCACAUUGUUAGCAAAGGCUAGAAAUGAUGGCCUCUUUCAUUUUUAUUCUUAAGGCUAGUCCUCCAACCCCUACUAUUUUCACUAUGACAAAGCAUAGUGUUAUUAGAGAACAAAAUGUUUGUGAAAGCUCUGAUUAUGAUAUUAAGGAUGCUUGAUUGACAAGUAGGAGAAACAAAUUUUGAUGAAACAUGGGUUCUAGUGUUCUAUUUCAUUUAAUAUGUUUGGCGUGGAGCUAGUUAUAUCUGUCGCCCUAAACUUGAACUCUGGAAAUAAUAAUGUUGGGGAGUAACCCUGGGUAGAUGAUACUAAAUAUAAACCAAAAUUUGGAAUAUUUAGGUAAAAAUUCUAAUUGUUUGACUGGUAGAAACGUGGGAAGCGUAAGUGCCAUUAUCGUCAAAGUUGAUUUUAUGUCUGAUUUCAGAUAUAACAUGGCUUACUAAAGUUUCUUUGAUAAACAUUGAUUAAGGAACUUGUAGAUUUAAAACUGGUCUCACCUAAUGCAUUAUUUCUGAUGUCUUGGGUUCAUGAGUUUCAAUUGGGAGCAGGGAAGGCUGUCUUGCUAAGUUGGGGGAAAUUCAGUUUUUUGGUUGCUAUAAGGAAAAGGGGAGAGGAUUAUUUCAAUCUUCAGAAGCUUGAUGUGGAAAAAGCCUGAAAGUAACUCUCCGUCAGAUUCAGCUAUUGUAAGAUUUUGUCUCAUCCAAGGUUGCAGUUAUACUUGUCCACAGUUUUAGUUGGUCUAGAGAGCAUCAGCUUCAUGUGACUAUAAAGAAUUGAAAUGAGGAUGAUACUAUCACUGUUGUGAGCUUGGUGUGUUAAAAGUAGGGGAGUGUGUAUGGAGCUUUUUGAUUCUAUUUUCUGUAGAGAAUGUCUAUUUUAAAUGCAUAAAAUGUAUCUAUGAGGAGAGAGUUACAUAAUGCAUUACCAUGUGAGUGAUCAGAUGGAAUUAAGACUUUUUUUUUUUUGAAAUUUACUUGCAAUUAUCCUGGCAAAGAAUCUGAAAUUCGCAAGAAAGGAGGAAUCCUAUAUAGACAUUCACUUCAAAAAUAAUUGGAACAGGUCGUUUCAAGUUUUAUUCCUAAGCAAAGGUAUGAUGUAUUGAUGAUGCAAAAUCACGCCCUGUAAGUUCGCUGAUGCUUUCCAUGAUACUGCCUUCCUCCCUCAAAAAGAAAUGGGGUGAUAAAGAGAGAGGAGAAACGACUCAAAUACAUGUAGAACAGGAAGGAUAAAUAUAAACCAUUUAUUUUCUAAUUAUGGAUUGGACUGCAAUUUUUCUGAUUACUUGUUUCUUGUGUAGGUUUAUCCCUCCUAAGCACUUCCAUUCAGCCAGCUGCCUGAGAUCGGGUAGAAAGACUAAUGAUCUGCCUUUACUAACUGGACCAUCCCCAACACCAAAAUCUUGGAAACCUUAUAUAUUAGUAUUGCAUUUGAACUCCAUUUUCCUUUUGAAGUUUUUCUGACUGUUGUUGCAUGCGCUCUGCGCCGUUGUCUAUGGCUUCUUUAUGUCAGUUGUCUUUCUCUUAUUUCUACUUUGCAGCCUGGAGCUAUUCUGGGAGGAUUCAGUGGACUAGUCCUUUUUCUUCAUUAUAAUGAUGAAAGGAGAGCAAUUCCAAAAGGUGUGGCUCUGGAUUUCUUUUAAUCAAAGCUUUAUCAUCUAAACUCGAACUUGGAACUACUUUAUGUUCCUUUCAAUCCAAAUACACCUCAAUCCCUUAUGUACCCUUAAAUGCUGGAAUCAACUCUUUAGAUGGAAAUGAAAAAAAAGGGAAGAAACAAAUUAAGGAUGCAAGUGCGUAGUGAAUUAAAAGGUGGUAUGAUCCUCUUUCAUAAUGUGACAUUCCAUGAAAGAAAUGAAAAAUGGAUUAGUUCAUAUGUUGUACUGCUUCUGUGCCUGAAAAGAUGUACUGCCAGUGCUUGAAACUAUCAUAGCUCCUUACUGAAAGUGCUUUAUUUUAAUAAUAGAGCACAAGAACUAGAUCCUCUUUUGAUUGCUAAACUUCUAAUCUACCAGAAGUCCAGAACUACAGGCCGAAAUUAUUUCCUUCCCAGAGUUAUCAUUGAGCCAAAAAGCAGUAUACUGGGCUUGUUGAUACACUUCUCAUGGCAAUCUCGGUAUCAUUACUAGUUUAAAUAGAAUAGUUCAUUGGACCAUUUACUCUCUUUUUAUUUUUCCUUUUCAGAUAGUAUUGGUAUAUUUGUCCUCUUAAAUUGUGCUCUUUAUGGAGUACCAUAUGCAUAUACUUUCUGAUUAGUUUUGUAGUGUCAUAAAUAUUAAUGAUUGGUAUACAAUAUAAAGCUUUCAUGUCCUUCAGGUCAAGGGGAGAAAUUUGAAAGAAGUGCAAUCCAAGGGCCAAUCAUUGGCGGUCCCUUCAGCUUAUUUGAUACAGAAGGCCAUUUCGUUACUGAGCGCAACUUGCUGGGAAACUGGGUUCUUCUCUACUUUGGUUAUACUUCAUCUCCUGAUGUUGGUCCGGCAGAAGUCCAAAAGAUGGCUAAAACAAUGGAUAUUCUAGGUUCAACUCGGGUUCUUUUAAUUGAUAUGAUAUUUUCUUAUUUACCGACUUAUGUUACUGAUGUUGUUAUUUCCUUUUUGCUUUGUGGCCCUUUCUUCUUAACGUAAACAAGGUUCAAAACAGGAUCAUCAUAAGAUUCUCCCAGUAUUUGUCACAAUUGAUCCUCAACGUGAUACCCCUUCACAACUUCGAGCUUAUCUUAAAGGUCUGGGUCUAGCUUUUCUGAUCUCUUUCUCUCUCUAGGUUCUGGGAGGGAUGUUUCCUGAAAGAAUUGUGGAAAGAGACCUCACCUGGGGGCAUGGGCUUGAAGAGAAACUGCGUUCAAUCCUAUAGUUGUCUCCUUUUAAUGAUGUUUAUUUCCUACACUUUAGAUUUGUUAAUUUUAUUUGCAUGAAAUGCAGAGUUUGACCCGAGAAUAAUGGGAUUAAGUGGACCAGUUGCUGCUGUUAGACAGAUGACACAGGAAUAUCGAGUUUACUUUAAGAAGAUUGAUGAAGAAGGUGAUGAUUAUCUGGUAGAAUCUUCUCACAACAUGUAAGCCUCAAGUCCUAUAUUUUUGUCAAAUAAGCAGCACUGUCUUUACAACCGUGGAAGAAUAAACUCAAGCAUUUCUUUUACCUGCGCCAGAGCAGUUUGACAGAGUCAGAUAUGGCUAUUGAUGUAAUAGGUAUUUGGUGAAUCCAAAAAUGCAAGUAGUUAGAUGCUUUGGCGUGGAAUACAGUGGGGAGGAACUGGCCGAUGCAAUAGUUAAGGAGCUAAAGAAAGCUGAGACAUAACAAUACUUGGGGUAGAUUUGGCAAAGUAAGUGCAUCAUAUUAGGUUAGGUUAGAAUAUUACCCUUACAUCUCUUCAUCAGCAUAUUUUAUUUAAUGGUUUCUAAGGAUCAUAGUUCAUUAUGUGUUCUAAAUGUACAACUUCCUAACAGAAAAUAAAUAUACGUGCCAGUAAUCUUGUUUUUCUUCCAUUUUCAUGUCCAGUUCUCCAAUUAUUUGUUAAAUGUUGUCUCAUAAUCCUCUUGGCCAAUCCAUGGCUAUCUGCAGCAGGUACCCAGUGGAAUAGUCACCUGGCAUAGAAACCACCAUCAUAAAGAAAAGAAAUUUCACUUAUCUGCAUAAAACCCUAAAAAUAUUAUAUUAUGAAAUUUGAAGACAGUUAAAUAGUGACAGCAAUCCUACUAAACUUUUGUCAAUAAUGAACACACAGAAACAAUUGGAAAAGAUUGUAGAUUCUGAGCCUAUUUGGAUUGGCUUAUCUUAAGCUAAGUUGCUCGGACUCUCCAAAAAUGUUGCCGCACCCAUGUCGGAUCCUUCAAAAUGACACUAGUGCACUCCUCGACAUUCUUGAGGAGUCCAAGCAACAUAGAUCUUAAGUGCUUUUAUGCAAAAAUAGCCUUUAAGUACUUUUGUAAUGCAAAAGUGAUUUCAAGCACUUACUUUUAAGCUAAAAAGACAAAAAUAAG
rnacentral:lncRNA from 1 species